rnacentral:lncRNA from 1 species
UUAUGAGGUUUUUUUUUACAUUUUUAUGAGUUUUGAUCAAUUUUUUGCCUAUCAAAAUUUUUUUUCCAAAAUAUCCGUCGAUAUUUCUCCGAUAUAUCCGAUAUAUCCGUAAAAUCAAGUUACCGAUAUAUCCGUGAUUACCGAUAUUUUCAUCAUUGUUCUUGAGCAUGUGGUUCAAGUAAUAUUUCCUGGUAUCAUGAUAUUGAUUGUCAAUGACCAUUUCCUUGUUCUUAUGGAUGGAAGCUAGUGAAAUGUUAGACUUUUGAGUAAUUUAACCUUGCACUGGUGAGUUAUCUUGGAACACUUGGUGCAUGAUCAAAAACUGUUUUGUGUUAAAGUUGAGUUAAUACACACUAGGGUUGCCUAGUGCUUGUUUUAUUUCAAACUUCAAUUUUUUCGACAGGUGGGUUUAGUUUGGUGAACAUGUGGUCAGAGUAAUAUAUCCUGAUACGAUGAUAUUGAUUGUCAAUGGUCAUUGCCUAGUGGUCCAGUUUUAAUGAAGGGUGUGCAUAUUGAGUAUGGAGUUUCUGCAACCUAGUAGCACUAUUACUUGUGACUGUGGCCUCUCUUUUAGGUUUUAUAUUCACAUGGUUAAUUAUGAGAGGCUACUUGGUCACGCAAAACUGCCAUCAGAUGAGAUUUGCAUGUGUUCUUGAAGUUUAUUUCCCUCUAGCAUUCUAGACUGGGCUAAUGUGCUCUUGGAAGCAAGUGAAGUGCUCUAGAAUACUAAUUAAAUGAUGCCACAGUGUUGCCUUGGGGGUUAGGUUGGAGGCUUCACAACUCAUGAUGGUAGAUAAGUAACUUUUGUGUUGUCUUGUCUUGUGUUUUCAUUCCUCCCGUUUGGAUGACUUGAUUUUCUGUUAUUUCUAGGUACUGGGGCUAUUAGUGUGUGGAAGGGGCCCCCAAGGCAAAAUGUCUGGUUUUUACACUCACUCCCUAUUUACUCUUGACCUCUCAAAACACAAUCCAAAAAGCUUGAAACCUUCUGACUAUUACUUGAUCUGUUAUUCUUUUCUGCUUCCCUCAAUAAAAGUUGAAGUUACUCUAGCUGAGAGGUGCUAUGAUGUCAAAACUGGGGGAGUUUUUGAGGUCCCAUUCUAACAUAGCUGAAUGGGCACUUCAAGGGAAUUAGUUCCCAAUUUAUCCUUGUGGAGUAAAACUUUCUUCCUAGCUCUACUCUUUUCCAUUUUCUCUAUGUACAGAUUCUAAGCUCCAUGGAGAUCUACCCUUGUAAAUCUUUUUGCUUAUCUUGCUUGGUUCAAAGUAUCCAUAGGGACUGUUACAACUUGGUGGAGGUUUAUCCUUAUUGGUCAUAGUUGUGACCAGUUCGAGAUGUGAGUUGAGUAUUGUGCUGUUCAAUAACAAUUCAAUCGCAACUCUUAACAUGAAUUAUUCGAUUCGGCUAACUCGGGAGAGGACUUCAAGUCACAAGAAUCUGACUUACAUCCAAUGCAAUUAAGAGGCAAAAAAAUAGAGAAUCUUUGUAUUUCUUGUAGAUUACCCACAUCAAUUAAGAGAAAAUAUCUUAAUCAUGACUAAGAAUAAGAAAUUCAAAAUGACUUAUUUACAAACAAUGAUUAACUUGUUGUCAAUCAUAUUUUAUUAUUAUUUUUUAUAUUGUGAAAAUAAUUUUUUUUCUCAUUCAGCAAAGUACAGUUUCUAUAUUUAUUGGUAAUUGAUAUAUCAAAAGAUAUAUAUAUAUAUACACACAUUUGCUUAUAAAAAAAAAAAUCUUUUGAUAUAUCAAUUACCAAAAUUUAUUAUUGGGUAUAAAAUUGAUAUAAUUAUGUAUUAAGACUUUUUUAUUUUUAAUAUUGUCAUGAAUCAAUCUCAAAUGUGAUGGAAUUUUUUUUAGUAGUUUGUCGAGUUCAUCUAAUUGUAAUGGAUUUUUUUAUUAGUUUGUUGGGUUCAUCUAAUUGUAAUUAUAUUUCUGAAAAUUUUCAUUAAUUUUUUAUAUUUUUUUAAUUAAUAUAUUAUGCAUACUUCCUAAGUCAGCUAUCGAUACUGCAACUUUGGACAAUGAUAUCCCGUCCAUAUCCUUUAUUUAUUGAUCUUCCCUUAGACCAUGUUAUCUUGUCCAUAUCCUUUAUUUACUAAUCUUCCCUUAUACCCAUACAUGCAAUUAUGUUUUUUCCAAGACUAGAAGUAACAUCAUUUUUUAUCUGCUUUCUCCCCGUAUCUCUUUGCUGUAAUUACUAACCCAACCUUGUACUUCUUGCAAUUCCACUUUGUCCAAGACAAUGUAACAUGAUUUUUUUUAUCUGCUUCUAACAAGAUCUCUUUCACUCUCUCUCAAAGACAUGUUAUACUUUCCAGGUGCUCUCCUCUUUGAUGUCAUAGAAGAAUAAAUUCCAUUUUUUCACUUACAAUAUAGAUUCUCUCUGUUGUCUGAGAGCCCCAGUGAAUCUGAAUCUUCUGGGUUAAUAUGUUCACUAUUGUUUAAAUACUUGGCUGGUUGUUUUUUACAGGCCGAGAAGAUAGCGUCAAGAAUGAUUUAUGAGGAUAGAAUGAGGGGAUCUAUUGAUCAGGUGUGGAUGACUAUCUUGGUUUAGCUUUUGCUAAAUUUACUCUUGUCACCAUUUAUGGUGAAAUGAGAAUUUAGAAAUCUUGGUUCCUAGGAUUCGUUUAGAUAAACUUCCUGUUUUUUGUUUUUCAAAAUAGAAACUUCUGUAUAAAAAGUAAAAACUCUUAUAAAGUGUAACUUACCUUAUAUCCUUAAAAAUUACUUCUAAAAAUUUUAAAAUUUGAGGUGGUAAAAUUUUUUUAAUAUCUCAAAAUUUUUAAUCAGUUUUUAAAACCAAUACCCUUGGAGGUUACUACCUUUUUCUAUUUUUGAAAACAAAAAAUAAGAAGUGUAUCCAAACAGAUGCAGUUUUAUGUUCCAUAUUUUUUUUACUGCAAGGUAUACUCUUGCAAUAGGAGCCAUACUCCACAUUUGGAGGAUUUUUUGGAGAGGUGGAAUAUGAUUGAAUUUAUAAUAGGGAUUUAUUGUGAUUGAGAAUGACACUGAAGAACAUUAUUUAUAUGAAAAAAAAUUGUAUAUCAGGUGGAAGCUGUUAUACAUUUUGAGGAUGACACUGAGGAGUUACAACAGUGGGAUCAACAGGUAAUUAUCUGUCUUAAAUGCAUGGCAUCACAUAUGUCUUUCAUAAAUAUCACAUAGGGUACUAGCUCUGAGUCCUGGUUCAAGUGGUAAAGGGUUGAGAGGGUUUGUGGGAGGUUCUAGGUUCCAAGUCGCAAUGGGGAAAAAAGGUAUUGCCAAUAAGCAAAUAUCAGCAUUUAAGCACAAUAUUGGCCAGAUUCUAAUAAGAUGAAUGGCAUUGACCUUUAAUUUUUACUUGGCUCUUAGUUUUGCACUGACUGAACAUUGCAGAUUGUUGGCCUCUGCCAAGCUCUCAAUGAUGUUCUUGAUAGCAUGGCGAAGAAGGGCUUGUCAAUUCCUGUCUGAUCCACGUUGAUGACAACAAAGCAGACGGACUUGCCACUCAAAUCACUCAACUACAGUUUUGCAUGUUAUUUUCUCAGCAUUGGUUUAUCUUGUCUACCUAGAUCAGAAGUUAUAUGGCAUCAUCAUGGCUUAACAAAUGGCGACCUUUGCACUUGCCUCACCCCAUGCUCGUAUAUCCUGUUCAUGUUCAUAUUCUGCAUUUUUGUAUGAUUGAUUUAAGCUCAUGGUCGGCAAUGGCUUCCUGGUCUUCAAAUUUAAUAUUUCUUGUAUAUUGUGAGCCAAGGGUUUGGUUGUUCUAAUGAUGUUACCUUCUAUGUUUAAUUUGAUUCUAUUGUUCAAGUGAACAUGGGCACAUGUGCCCCUUCUUCAGCUUGUUAAUUCAACUGGGUUUGUGCGAUGUAGAAAAAAGGAGAAUAGAUGGGCAAUUCCAAAAUUUUCCUUAAAAAGGGCUUAAGCCAUGAUUUCAAACUCCCUCCAGGUACAGGCUAUCUCAGUAACUGAAAAUCUUUCAACCUCAAGGGUUGCACCACGAUGUGAAUGACCAUUAUUACUCUUGGCAAAGGUACUGUGUUCUUGUAAUGGUUGCUUGCUUAGCUCUAAAUUUUGCCCAACUCAAGGACUGGGUGAUUACAGGAGUAGAAAAUGCCUGUCAUUUCAAAAGCUUUCACCAAUUAACAUGGUCAAGAUAAGCAUGCCACACCAACCUUAUUAUUCUGGUUUGUUUUUUCACAAGUUAUUGUGUCUGGUUCUUUUUGUAGAAUCAAUUUGGCUGAUAUUACAUACCCUUCUAAGGAGUACAAUUUUGAGCCAUUCUUUUUAGCAUUUGUGUGCGGUGGUCAAUAUUUUCUGGUUCAAGAUGUGAUUCCAAGUUCUCUUUCUUUCAUGUGUUCGCAAAGAUUGGUUUUAAUUUACUGGAGGAGGUUAACAGACCUUAUAUCUGAUGAUCUGUCAAAAUGGUGGAAUUCAAGGACAAAAUAGAAGAAAGGAAAGGAGCUUGGCAUACAGAGGACUAUCAGCUUCAGGCCACACUCCAUUACAUAAUUCACAAUCAUGCUUGCGCAAGUUGACACACUGGGUCCGGUCAUGUGAAGAGGACCCUUCAAUGCCACAAUUAAGACAAUGAUGCAAAGAAUAUGUAGCUGGAUUAUAAUAAUAAGAAAAAAAAACUUCUUUCCUUUAUUUAAAGAAAAAAAUCAAAGUAGAAUGCUUCUGGAUUUUUCUCUGUAAAUGAAGGUAAAGGAGCCAUAAAUUAAUGUCUCCAGAAGUUUUUCUUAUUUUGUUUUCUUUUACAUCCAUUUUUUUUAUUUUUCUUGUGUUUCUACUGUGGUAUAAUCGCUAUAAAACUAACAGAAAAAUUAGUUCUACCCUACCAAGAACAAGGAACUUAAGUGUCUCGAGAUUUGGAUGGACUGCACUUUGUUGGAUCCUUCCCAGUCUGCAAGAGCACGUCAUAAUUAAUGGAUGCCAACUGCGACAGAUUCUGCAAAGAUUAACUUCCCUUGAGCAACCAAAACAGGCUUCAAUUAUAUUGUUAAUUUUUUUGACAAAUAUGCUUCACAAGUUUUCCAUUCACAAUUUCUAACAUGAAAGAUAUUGGAGUUUUCUGUCCUCAAAAAAGUGUUGCUCCAGCAUGUUUCACAAGCAGUGGAGGCUGGGGCACAAAUAUUGCCUCGGCAAUGAAAGAGGUGAUGAAGUGCCCCAAUGUUGGGUGGUAAUGGCUGUGAUGGAGGUAGUUGCAGUGUGAAAGUACUGGUGGUAGUGAUGGUGGAGUGGCAAAGAUGAAGAAAAGCCAACGGUUUAAGGCAGUGAUUUUGGCUUUCUUCCAUUGUAAAUAGUAGAGAAAAGCUUAAUCUGAUAAAUUUCUUCUGGGCCCAAUCAGAAACUGAGAAAUAGAGUACCAAUAAUAACAAAGGUAUCAAUGGUUUUUUAACUCUUCAAAACUAUUACUUGGCCCAGGCAGUUUGCCAUUUCAUGCUGAAAAUACUUCUAAAGCAAGUGAAAUCUUAAAAUAAACUAAAGCAGUCAGUAAACAUGCAAACAUAAGGGAUCGUGUGAUUUCUUUUCCAAAUUCUCAUUUUUGUGGGUAUGGUUCAAGUUGCUGCCAGUGCACCAGCAUUCUCCUCCUAGAUGUUGAUAGAACCUCCUCCAGUUAUGUAUCACUAAGGCUACUUUAAAUACCACCCCAAGAAAAUACUCUUUCAUUAUUUUUCAUAUCACGUGUAUAUCAAUAAUUCUGGAAUUGGGUGAAUUGAAAGAUUUUGAAGCAUGUGUUCCUCCAAGAGAACAACUGGGAGGGUAAUUAUAACUUUAAUCAAUAAUUAAUUGUGACCCAACUUAGCAGCUCAUUGUGCGUGUGUUUCUACUUGAAGUGUCUAAUCCUAUAAAAUGCUUCCGUUUCCAGGAGAGAAGCAGUCAUACCUUGAAAGAGAAGUUUAUCAAUGAUAGGUUCAGAGGGGAAGAAUCAAACUCCGCCAGAUCACCGCAUUCAUCCAUCUGGAGAAAAAGUUCAUACAGAAUAAGCUUCCAAUCACAACUGCUGAAACUCAUGACAAAGGAAAAUAUGUUUUGCAUGUCUCACCCAUAAUUAAACAAGCUUGUUUCAACCUACUGGGUGUCACUUUUUUCUCAAGUUUUUAAGUGAUUAGCUCCCAAGUUUUUAAGGGGACCAAGUGAGUCUUGUAAUGGUAAAGAAGAAUUAUUCAAGUGAUUAGCUAUCUGACUUUUUGAGUAACUAACUGAGUCUUGCCAUGGUAAAGAAAAGAAUUUUGCAUCCAUUUCAAGCAGUAUGCAGGGAACAAGAUGAAAGCAUAUCAGUUCCUAAGCUGACAGAAACAUGUGAUAUCAAUACAAUGACACAUUCUCUGCUACUUAAGGUGUCACCAUGAACAGGCACUAUGCAAUAGGCUAUGCAGGCCAUUUCGCAGAUUAAGUAUUGUUAGCCUACAAUAUAUAUAUGCUGUUAGCAAUAGCUUUUAAUUUCUACCUUUACACAAAAGAAGUAUUAUUACUAUGAGGCUGAUUUUACUUUGGGGAACUGUACUUUAAAAAUGUUUUUAUAUAAAAUAAUGACAAUUUUGAUAUUUUAAAAAUUUUCAUUAAACAAAAAUCUACUUUCUGCAUCGCAUUUAAGAAAAAGCAUGAGUCUCCCUAUUUUUCCAAAACAACUACAUGUUGGGAAGUGUGAGGCUUACAUUUAGAAGUUCUAUUUAAACAUUCUUAAAACUUGUGGUUGACCUUCAAAACACUCUUUUAACAUUUAAGAAGCACUUCCAAACAAGGUUUAAUUAAUUUUAGAAUAUUUGCAGGAGGAUGACUCUAUAAGCAUCACACAACAUAUCUCCUGCUGCUAAAGAAUAGCACCAUUUUGAAGCAAAAAAUUAUCAAAUAAUCAAUUAAUAAAUUAGUAAUCUUGGCAGUCUGCUAGAGAAAUCACACGAUUCAUCAAGUUAGAUUAAUCUUUUUGUCACCAAGACAAACGUGCCAUUGCAUUUUAUUUAUUUAUUUGUGUAAAUAUCAUAUCCAGAGGUAAAACAACAAAAAUAGAAGACAACAAAUCCUGGGAAUAAUCCUUAUGAAGCAGGCAACAAGGUUAAAACAGUUCAGAGGCCUGUCAAAUUUCCACAAUUCUCACUUGCUUAUUUAAAAGAAAAUUGGUAUUUGUCUAGAAAACUCAAGGCAUUCAAAUCAUGGUUCACUUUCUUAUGAAUCAUCAUGAUUGACUUGGUGUUGAUCAGACCUUUGAAUAAAGCCAAACAAGAAGAUCCUGCAAGAUGGCAUUAUGUCGAGGUUUCUUAAUUGUAAUUUUCUUUCCUUACAGAGUAUUACUCUCCAAAAUUUCUUUAAUUACACAACAUUAAUAUAACAGGGAUUUAUAAAGUAUAGGCUCCUGGUAACUUUAAGAAUCUAAUCUUAAAUUUGUGUAAAAAUUAAAUGCAAUACUAGCUUUAUUCAAAAAACCUUUCCAGCUAAAAUCUCCAAUAUCAGUUAUAAUGGAAGUGAACUGUAAUCCUCAUAUUAAAUUCAUGGACAGGAAAGUUGAUAAAUGAUUUAAGUGGAUUUACCUCAAGUCCAGAAUUUGAGUAUAGGUCACUAGAAUCAGUAGCAGAAUCACUACAGUCCUGUUCAUCUGGCAACCCACUAGGAAUUUGAGAGUACCGUGAAACGAAAUAACUUGUAUCAUCUGCACUAUCAGGCUGUGGUACAAAGACGGCCUACACACGGAAUCAAGUUGUUUCGAAGUUAACAAUUAGGAAAGAAUGUUUUAUAAGAAACAAAGUUCCCAGCCUAGAUUUAUUCAUAAAUAUACACCAUCAAUUUUCAUCCAUUAAUCACACAUGUUAGUGCACACCUACACACAUGCUGGAAAGAAUGAAAUUGUUGUAAUGUUAAGUUGUUAUGGGGCUGAAACAAACACCUUAGUGGUACAGAUUGUGAACACACUAAGUGGCAUGUUUGAAGUUUUGUGCAUAAAAGAGCAAACAACUGUAUCAAUAUACAUAAAAGAAAUAUCUAUUAUUUGUUAUUUUAAACAUCAGAUUAUCGCUAAUAGUACAAACCCAACAGUUUUUAAUUUUAUAACCUUCCUCUAAACCAAAAGGAAUUCCACCGUUAAAAAGAAAUCCAUUACAUAAGUUGCUCCUGUUAAUGGUAUCAGUUGUUUAUGAAUCAUGUCAGCAUAAGUUUUACUAAAAGAAAUAAUACUUUACAGUCAUAAGAUUUCUGUCCCAACCUCAAAGCAUAAGCCAUUCUGAAUAAUAAAUAAAGAAUGCAAAACACAAAAUUGCUUCUUCCAAGUGUUUUUUUUUUUAUCAAUAAGUAUAAGAUUGUAUUGCAAAGAGGCGCUAAAGAAGCGACCCACCAAAUUACAGUAUAAAGGGACUUACCCCCUUACAUAAGGGCCCAAACAUCAAAGGACAAGGCAAAACAAAAAAACCUCUCCCUUAACGCAUACAUACCCAGUCUAUAAAAUCUAUUAAGGUCGAAGGACCAUCUUUUAUCCACAAUUUGGAUUCCGACCACAAAAAAUACACAAAAGAUGCUUUCAACUUUUGAAUGGACAGCUCACAAUCCUCAAAAGCAAUUGAAUUUCUAGCCUUCCAAAUAACCCAAAACAAGCAUAUCGGUCCCAAUUGCCACGCCACCUUCCUUUUCUUUCCCACAAAGGACCCCCUUCACCCUGAAAGGGUUUCCUUGACCGAACGGGGGAACACCCACGAAACACCAAAAAAGGAAAGGAACACCAUCCAUACUUCCCUCGUUUUUUCACAAUGAAUAAGAAGGUGAUCAAUUGUCUCCUCACUCUUAUGGCAAAGGAAACACCUAUUUGCCAUAACCCAACCUCUCUUUUGCAAGCGAUCCAAGGUUAGAACUCUCCCCCAAGAAGCCUCCCACGCAAAAAAGCUCAAUUUGGGCUGCACACAAGAGUUCCAUAUAAUUUUAGAAGGGAAAAAAGCAGGAGACCCCGGCUGCAUAGUCCUAUACAAAGAUUUCACCGAGAAGUCCCCAUCUUUUGAUGCCAUCCACUUCGCCUUAUCCUCCUCAUCCCCCCUAACCUUCUUCCCCUCCAAGCAACAAAAUAGCCUUUCCACUUCUUCCAUCUCCCAAUCGUUGAAAGGUCUAUUGAAACAAGGGUUCCAACUUGCCCCCUAUUCCCCCCCGGCUGUCCACACUUCAUUUACCCAAGCCUCUUUGUUUGAAGCUAAAGCAAAUAAAGAAGGAAAUACCUCGCUCAAAGGGAUGGUAUCACACCAUUUAUCUUUCCAAAACUUCACUUUCUCACCAUCACCCACCACAAAGCCAACAAAAGGGGUCACUUGAUGUCCCAUUUUACUUAUUGCCUUCCACAACCUAACCCCGUAGGCCUCCCUAGGCUCACAAGAUCUCCACCCUCCUCUUUUCUCCCCGUACUUCCCUCUGAUCACUUGGUUCCACAGAGCCUUUCUUUCAUUUGCAAAACGCCACACCCAUUUGCCAAGGAAAGCCCUAUUGAAGGCCCCAAAAUUCUUAACCCCCAACCCUCCGCUUCUUUUGUCUAAACAAACAAUUGACCACUUAACUAAAUGUGGUUUUUGCACUAGAGCCCCGCCACCCCACAAAAAGUCCCUUUGAAUCUUUUCCAAUCUGAUUCUAACCACUCUAGGCAUCUGGAAAAUCGACAUAAAAUAAAUCGGUAAAUUUGCCAAAGUACUACGCACUAGGGUAAUUCUCCCCCCUUUUGAAAUGUACUGACGCUUCCACAUAGCCAAUUUCUUUCUGAAUCUUUCUUCUAUUCCAUCCCACGCUGCAACACUUUUAAACGGGGCACCUAACGGCAUUCCUAAAUAAGUGGAAGGCAGUUUUCCCACCCUGUAACCAAACUCAUCAGCCAACACUUCCACAUUCUCGACUCUACCAACCGGAAUCAGCUCACUUUUCUCCAGAUUUACUCUUAACCCUGAAAUUGCCUCAAACCACAUUAACAACCAGCCCAUAUACAACAACUGCUCCUCCUUUGCUUCACAAAAUAUCAGUGUAUCAUCAGCAAACAACAAGUGUGAUAUUUGGACCCCUUCGCCUCUUCUUCCCCGAAUCAAACAAGGCGCCAAAAACCCCCCAUCCACUGCCUUCUUUAUCAACACACUGAAAGCCUCCAUCACCACUACAAAAAGGUACGACGACAAAGGGUCUCCUUGCCUUAACCCCCUUGAACUUUGGAAAAAACCCGUAGGACUUCCAUUCACCAUAACUGAGUACCUAACAGUGGAUAGACACCACUUUAUCCACCUGCACCAUCUUUCCCCAAACCCCAUCUUCUCCAUCACUGCUAAAAGAAAAUCCCAAUCCACAUGAUCAUAGGCUUUCUCAAUGUCUAAUUUACAGAGAAUCGCCCCUCUAUCGCUUUUCACAAUGGAGUCAAUUGCCUCAUUAGCGACCAACACUGCAUCCAUAAUCUGCCGUCCCUCCACGAAAGCGUUUUGGGCCGGUGAGAUGACCUUGGCUAAAACACCCUUCAUUCUAUUAGCCAACACCUUAGCUAGCCACUUAUAUAACCCUCCCACCAAGCUAAUUGGCCUAAAAUCCUUCAAGUCUUCUGCCCCCCCUUUCUUAGGAAUCAAGACUAGGAACGUUGCAUUCAAACUUCUUACAAAGCUCCCGGACUCAUGGAAUUGCCUAAAGAAGUUCAUGACCUCUUCUUUAACAAAAUCCCACGAAAAUUGCCAAAAAGCCAUUGAAAAACCGUCAGGGCCUGGCGCUUUCUCUCCACAACAGCCUGACAAAGCCCUAAAAACCUCCUCCUCCGUGAAAGGCUUCUCUAGCCCCUCCAUAUCCCCCUCUUCCAACCUUUCAAACAUCAAAGCGUCUAAACUGGGCUUCCACCCCCCCGGGUCUGCCAGCAGCCCCUGGUACACCCUGCACACCACCUCUUUGAUCUCCCUUUCCUUAUUGUACCAUCUCCCGUUCACUUUGACUCUAUUCAUCUGAUUCCUUCUUCUAUGAGCAUUAGCCAUCUGAUGAAAAAACCUUGUGUUUCUAUCCCCCUCUUUCAGCCAAAUUUCCCUGGACUUCUGCCUCCAUGACGUUUCUUCUAAAAGGACCCACUUCUUAUACAUUUCUCUUGCCUCCUUCCUAGCUUCUUCCUCUUCCAAGGACAAUUCGCGGACCCUCUCUUCCUUGUCCCAGAAAUCCAAAGAAUUCCACGCCUCUUGCUUCUUAACCUUAAUCUGUCCGAAAACCUCUGUGUUCCAUUUUUUCAGGAUCGGCUUUAAAGCCUUUAAUUUCUCGCUCAAAAUGUAACUGGCUGUCCCACUAAUCUGAAUCCCCUCCCACCAUCUCCUGAGCACCUCUUUGAAGCCUUCCUCCUUCAGCCACAUGUUCUCGAAUCUGAAAGGAGUGGGCCCUCUCGUCAUCCCCCCUCCAUCAAGAAUAAUUGGAGAAUGAUCUGAUACUGGUCUAACCAAAACACCUUGAAUACACUCCCGGAAAUGAGCUUCCCAAUCUUCAAAGAUAAGAAACCGGUCGAUUCUCGAUUUUAAGAGAUUAUUAAAACCUCCACUCCACGUGAACAUCCCCCCCUGAAGGGGUAAAUCCCUUAACUCUAACUUCUCUAUCACUUCUGUAAAUCUCCUCAUUGAUGGGGACAGGCGACCUCCUCGACUCCGCUCAGUAGGGAAUCUUAUCAUGUUGAAGUCGCCAGCAACACACCACGGUUCGUUCCACAGCCCUUUGAUGGCCCCCAACUCGCUCAAAAACUCCUCUUUCUCCACCUUCACAGAGGGCCCGUAAACUCCUGAAAAAACCCAGCAAAAACCAUCCUCAACAUUCUUGAACCGGCAGGAAACUGAAUAAUUGCCCACCUCCAUUUCCUCCAACUGCAGCACCCUAUUGUCCCNNNNNNNNNNNNNNNNNNNNNNNNNNNNNNNNNNNNNNNNNNNNNNNNNNNNNNNNNNNNNNNNNNNNNNNNNNNNNNNNNNNNNNNNNNNNNNNNNNNNUUCCCAACGAGCCCUUGACCCAUUUAUAACCUUUUGUUUUUCUACCCACGCCUCAGUACUCUCAUGCUCCAGUCUUUGACUAAUACUGGGUUGGGUCACUUAGUACCCAAACUUGCAUCUAUCAAGCCCAUCCACGCAGUCUUUUUCACUUGAGCCCACCUCUCCUUCCUCCUUGCUAUAUCCUGCCAACCCAUCAGCUGAAGCUCCCAUCUUGUCGCCAUCACACUUUUCUUUUCCCGUUCUUUUUCUGACUGCACCUGAUCCAUCAGCUUCAGCUGCACGCCAUCCUUCCUUUUCCUCCCCACCGUUGUUCCCGGCGCGUGAUUCCUCAUUCCCUUUUUCCCUCAUCCUUUCCCCUUCUCUCCAUCUCAGAUUCAUCAUCGACUCCACUGCAGAAACUUUAGGCUGCACCUCCCACCACAGGCGGACUGCAUAGCAGAAGGACUUCACCACUAAAUUCAAAGUUCCUGGAAAAAAAUUUCCGCUAUUCUUUACCAAAAUCCUGGCCCAUUGAAGUUGAGAAAGAUUCUUUGUAUCUUCAUCCACCUUCACCAAACCUCCACAGCAAUCACCAAUACUUUUAAACAUUUCUUCACUCCAACAGUGUAGUGGAAGUCCCACCACCCUUACCCAAACUUCUUUUGUUUGGUUUCCAACCUGUAAACACCCAGCCUCCUCACUCCAUCUCUCUAAAUGCAGCAGCCUAUCCUUAAAUCUACGCGUCCCCCUUUUUAAUACCCUCUCUGCUUCCCCUUCAUCUUCAAAUUCCAAUAAGAAGAAAGGUUCUCCUAGCUUCAUCACCUUAACACCUUUCCUAAGAUUCCAGAUGCGUUUCCCCCAGUUUUUAAACGAAUCUAACUCCAUCUCCAUCACUGCCCCUUCCCACCUACCAACUAGGCAACGCCCCAAAACUUCCUCCCUCCUCCUCAAUCCCCUGCCUCCUACCUGGAGCCACAGCUCUUCGCCUACCCUUCCAGCCGGUCCUUUAGCCACAUCUAGGAAGCUUUUUUUCUCCCCCUGCUUCUUCUUACCACUGCACCGUUCUUCCUCAUCAUCUAUUGUUGCAUCCUUCUUUUUUGAACUGAUUUGAUUUGCUUCUGCACCUUUGUCUUCCUUUUUAGUAACUAUCCCCAACGCCCUUAGCUUCUCGGCUAGAAUGGCCCAUCCUCCUAUCACGCCCUUUCCUUCAGGAAAGACUAAACAGAAUCUUUUAGCCUCUACGUCCACAACAGAGCAUAAGACGUAUCUUCCUACCCCGUUUACACGCCUCUCCAACCGGAACUUUCUUCCCUCUUCCUCCCAGACUUUAACCAAUCUUCCUUUCUUUUCCUCCCUACAGCAUUCUUCAAAGCAUUCCAGUAGCUUCCUCAAGCUUGAUGCCCCAAACCUGAUCCAAGAGGAAAAGCCUCUACUCCUUUCCACAAUGAUACCUUUUAGUUUCCCUUUGAUUUCCUCUAUAGACACUUCAAACGUCUUCGAUUCAAUCGCUACCCAAAACUUUGCCAUAACUAAAGUAAAAAAACUUGAAACUUGAAACCAGCAGUCAAACUGCAGAUUUCACCUUUCUUCCAUUGAGACUUUCACUUCUAGGUCUUGUGAUACCCUCCAUGCACACCAUUUUAAUCCACGUUGAAGCAUCAAAAUAUCACCAUAUCACAAAAAUGUCUCCAUUACAAAAACCCAUUUCCUCUCUUCCAAGUGUUAUUCAUCUAUGAAAUAAAAUCUCAUGAUUGCUCUUCCAAGUGCUAUUCAUCUAUGAAAUAAAAUCUCAUGGUGCAACAAUGAAUGAAACAAUGAACAAGUGGCACAAAGGCAGGGCAUGUGAUUCGUGUACACCAUAAUUGCAAGCAUAAGAAUUGUGUUCUUCAUAAAGAUCAAGAAGAGCAUGUUCCUACCUUUUGUAAUGCAAGGGUGUCCCAGUUAACUCCCUUGAAAAAAGGAUGUGUUUUCACCUGUAAGAAUGACCAAGACAGUUACAAAAAACCAAUCUAUAAUACCUUAACAUUGACUAUCUAGUGCUUUAAUACUGCAAACCUCUGACAAUCCAUUUGCUCCGAGGCGCAGAUCUGGAUCAUGAAUAAGAAACCUAGGAAGAAAAGGAUCAAACCAUGAGUAUCAUUUAAUAAUAAACCUCCAUGACAGUAAAACAUGCAUACACAUGGCAAUCUGAAUGCAAAGUUGUAUAGAUGUGAAGGUCAGAAAUUACAGCAUAUCUUAUUAUACUAAACUUAAGGAACAAGAAUUACAAGAUACACCCUCUUAAUCCACAUACUAGGUGUUAGGGAGUGUGAUUAAUUGUUUCAGUAUGAUUACAUAUAUAAAGAAUUCAUGCUGUCUGGCACAUGCCAAACACACGUAUAAACAAUAGCACGUAAUAGUAAUAAUGAUAAGGACAAUAUAAAAACAACUCAAUCCUCUUACUACAUACAGAAUCACACAUGAAUGUAUGAAAUAUAUGCAGCUUACAAAGUUAAGCUGUCAGGUUGUGAUUUUAAAUCAAAUCCAUCAGCAUUUUGCAAUUCCUAAAUCAUAUAUUUCAAAAUUUACAUAUUAUCAUGACAACAAACUACUUGGUAAGUAUUUUUUUUUUCCCUCUGAAACUGCAGUUUUCAUAUUAAUAUCAUCGGUAUAGCAAUACUGUAAACUAAUUUAAUAUCGAGAACAUUAUCCAAGUCCUUGAGUGUCCAUGUUGGACUUCAUUGACAUACUGAGCUCUAUGUAGUGUGUGGGAGUUGGUUUUUGUGUAUCCCUCCACUUGGUAUGGCCUCUUGGUGCCUUUGUAUGUACUGUGUAUAAUUUAGUGCGCUCUUUUGUUAGGCUCUGUUAAUAUAAUAGAUAUUUGCCUAUCAAAAAAAAUUAUCCAAGUACUUGAGACACAAACUGAUCAAACCAUUUAUAAAGAGGAACAAUGAAUUUCAACAUUGAUAACGUCAACCCAAUACCAUUACAUAAUAAAAAAUAAUUAAAAAAACCUCAAAGGCUCAAAACUGUACUAACCUGUUAAUCAAGUCUUGAGCCUCAUAGGACAUAUCACCAGGAACAGAAGGCCAGGGGAUUUUCCUGUUAAGAAUGUUGUCGAAGAUUAUCUGCAGAGUCAUGAAAAUGUUGGUCUUAAAAGGAUAUGGUUCUUAUUCUAAUUGGAGAAACUCUAUUCAUAAAAGAGAAUGUGCUCAUAGAAAGGCAGCCCAUGUAAGGAUGAUUAAUUAAUACAAAGUUAAUGGAUGAAUAAAAUGCCUGCCAAUUAUUUAGAGCAUAUAAAUGAAGUGUAGAAAAAGCACUAACAAUCUAAUGCAGUCAUGCAUCACUGUGGAAGUUAUUGGGUAGCAUCCGUGAUAACAUCUGGAUAGGUUACUAGAAAUAAACAUUUUUGCACAUUGUUAAUGAGCAGUCGGCACUCAGCAUAGAAAUAUAAAGGGCAGAAGAGGAAAAUUCAGUGCAUGGUGUAAGACAAGCUAUAUUGAAAACAGUUUUAUUUCUCAUCAAGUUCUACAAACGCAAAGCAAAUCCAUAUAGCAUGAAUUUCUGAGGACUGAGAAGAGUGUGUUGAUCAUCAAAUAUUUUUUUCUCAAGCAGAUGAUAUUUAUCACUUACACAAGUCACAUCAGAGGAACUGUUUCAUGGAUACUCACACAACUAUACAAGCUUAGAAAGUUCAUUUGGAAGGAAAACAGAAAAAGGUGGGUGGAGAUUUGAGAUACAAGUGUUGGACACUACUGUCCAGCACCGCACAUAAUGAAGGGAGGAAACAAAAAAAUUGAAAGUUGUAUUUGGCACAUCCUUUUAAUCAUGUCAAGUUCCAUCAACAUGGGCGAUCAUGGAUGUGGACAUUACUAAGAUAUUUUAGUUACACUUUGCUUAACCUACAACAUCAAGUGUUUUUAAAUAAUUUCCAUUAAGGAUUUCAUGAUCCAACAAACUGAAGAUGCAUAAACAUUUGAUCGAGUCUCCAAUGGUCAAAAGGUAUUUGCAGCUAUGUGAUGAUUAAGAUUAUACUAAAAGAAAGUUUAAAGUUACUCACUGACAAAAGAGAACCCUGCAUUGACAUGAACAUCCAAAGGAAAAUCUAUACAGUCGAUUAGCACAUUUCUGAUAUUCUUCUUAAGACAUAAAUAAAUCUAGCAGGUUUUAAAUGAGAUAUAGUUGUUCCAGAUUCCAGUCAAUAAUAUGAGCCAUACAUUGCAAGAGUUUCAUAUUAAAUCCCUAUUUGAUAGAGUUUUUUCAACACUAAAAGCAAUAUUUUAAAAUCAAAUGAAAAUUUAAGGGUAUUCAGAUAAAACUCUCAAAAUGGGUUCUACACUCUCUAAUGUGAUUUAUCUAUGUUUUUGAAAAAUAGAGAGACCCAUGUUUUUCCUCAAACACGGUGCUGAAGUAGAUUUUUGUUUAAUCAAAAUUUUUAAAAAUUUCAAAAUAUGUUUAUUUUUAAUAAAAGAAUUUUUUAAAUACAGUUUCUAAACAUAAUAUUCGAUGGUGUAGCAACAGUAACUAUGUCUUCUACUGCUUCAAUUGAUAACUUAGAAGUUAAAAGAUAAGCCCAAGAGGCCCUAACUCUGACUAAUUACAAAUCCUGUCACUUAAAUGAGAUUCUAAAGAACCCAAUUCAAAAGAUAAUAAUAGCUUUAUACCUUCUAAUACAAUCACCCUUCCAUUCCUCAACAUGCACUAGAAAUUAGAGGGAAACAGACAGAAUAUUUCAGUAUGAAGAGUUACCUCUGGAUGCUCAGCGGUGAAUGGUGGAACUCCAGUAAUUAAUUCAAAUAGGAUAAUUCCCACUGACCACCAGUCCGCAGCAUAACCUGCAGGAACACCCAGGAGGUCAUUUCAGCUGUCCAGUAUACUUGAACAAUACCUGAAUGCAGAUUGUGUCCAAACCAUGCUCUGUUCCAAGAAGGAUUUCUGGAGCCAAGUAGUCAGGUGUCCCAACAGCUGAUUGUCGAUGUCUAUCAUCUGUUUGUUGAGUGUGCAGAUUAAGGGAAUCUAGAAAAGCAUCAGUGCUUCCAUCUGUCUCGGGCCCCGAUAAAUCAACUGUGCUGUUUAUGAGGCCAAUUUUUGAUAAUCCAAAGUCUGUUAGCUGGUAAAAUAAGUAAUGAUUAGCAUCACUAGCAUGGAAAAGACUAAUGCAGAUAUAAAAUUCAAACCUACAUGCUACGGACCAUAUACAAGGAUAGUAUAACAAUGUAUAAUCCAUUGGAGCCACUGUAAGGGAACAAAUCUGACAAUUCCUAUUAGAAGGGCUUGUAGCUAACUGAUUCAUUGAGCUUUUGUUAAAUGAAUACGAGUUCAAUGAGUUUUGUUCAUUUGAAAUCAUAUAAAAUAAAAGGGCGACUGAAAACUGUUAGUCUAUGAGUUCAUAAGAUAAAUUUCUGUUAGACAUUGCAAAAAGGAAGAUUUAAAAUAAAAAAGAAGCAAUUAUCUAUAAUUUUUUAAAAGCCAUGUUUGAAAAUCUAGAGGGCAUUUCUGCAAUUAACAGGGUAGCUGAAAACUUAAAAUCAACUUUGUCCUCCUCUGGUUUGACAAAAAUGAAAUUCAUGUAAUGGGGUUUUUAGUGAAGAAUGUUCUGAGCAUGAUUAGUUUUCAACAAUAUAUGUGAAUACAAUAAAACCUCAACUCAUAAUAUAUGUAAAUAGUCUGUUGAAUCUAUGCAUGAAUACAUAAAACUGCAGUGCUUACUACCAAAACUACUAUUUUAUUGAAGUAUCUAAACAAUCAAUCAGGAGCACAACAGAGCUCAUACACCAGACCUUUAUGUGCCCAUCAUGUGCAAUCAAUAUAUUGUCUGGUUUCAGAUCACGAUGCACUAUGCCAAGAGAAUGCAGGUAUUCUAAAGCAAGGACCUGAAACAGGAUAGCACCCACUCAAGGAAAGGUCAGGCAAGAACUAAAUAAGCAUAUUCCAAUGUUAAUUUUCUUAAUAAACCAUCUUAGUGAAGGAAUUUCCAACAAACCAGUUCUGCUAUAUAUAUACGAGCUACAUCUUCUUCAAGGCAACCGAGUUUUCUGAGCAAAGAGUAUAGAUCACCUCCAUUAAGAUAUUCCAUAACCAAAUAGACAUUAUCUCUACAGGUGAAUGAAUAAAAAAAGCGAACCUGCAGUAGCAAGACAAUACAUUCAUAUGAAAUGUAUACAAUUCUAAAACUUAAAAGAUUCUGGAAAGACAGUAUUUAUCUACUUGAGAAAUUAACUCUAAUGAUUGAAGCACAAGAAAAGAAAGGAUUAAUAAAAAGAUGCAGUAAUUGGAAACUAAAUCACAUCUUCCAAUUAGUAGCACAUAUAUCCCAACAUUAUGAAGAUAUUUAAAGCAGGUGCAAUUAUAUGUUAUAUAACCCACAACAAGCAAGUCUCAUAACUAAAAUAAUUCCAGAAAAGAAUAUUACCACAAAAGGGUUUCUAACUGUAAUAAGUAUGUUACGCUCUGCUAAUAUCCGUUCAAUAUCAUUUUUCCGUAUCAUAUCCAAUUUCUUGAGGACCUGCAUAAGCAAUGGAUAAUAUCAUCUCAAGAUUCUAGACUGAAACAGGAAGUUCAAACCAACAAGUACAUAAACCUAGAACAUUAGAUGCAAAAAUUUUACAGCUGAAAUGGCUAACUACUAUAUUUCAAAGCUCAAAAGCACGGCAGCAGAACUUUUUUCAAACAGUGCCACAAUGUUGAAGACCUAUGAAAGAAAAUCGAUACACUAAAGAUAAACUCUUGGCAUGUUUGUUUGUCAAAUCAAAAUUGAAUGAGUAGAUCCUGUUUCAAAUAGAAUUUGAAGGUCAGAAUUUAUCAUCUGGAAUAUGGCCAUUAGCAAAUGGGAGUGAUCACAAGAAAGGAGAGUGAUGGGAUCAAUAUCAGAUUCCCUUGUAAUGACACUCUCAAGCUGCUAGUUUUAUUCUGGUCCAGAGAAAGACAUGCUAAUAUACCAUAAUUUCAAGGGAUGCCUAAGUGAACCCUAAAGGAAAACUAAGAUUUUAGUGUAUCUGUUGGCAUUCCUGUAUUAAUUCCACUUAAUGUUGACAUGAAGCAGAAGAUCCAUUUCUUUUUUCUGCAUCAAAACAUAUAAUCUAUUUCUAUUGAAGAAAUCCAUUUUGACUGCUAACCAAAUUUUAGGAAAUCACUAGUUGUGGCCUCUGUUUGGAAUAGGUUCCAAAGGUUAAAAAAUCCAGACAUAGUUUCAUGCUGAAGUAAUUUGGUAAGAGGAUGAGUGAUAAUGUCAGACAUGAUAAUCUCAUAAAAACCCAAAAUGCAAUGUACUCAUGGCCAUAUUAUCCAUUUUUGAUACUCAUAUAUCUUAAUGGAAAUAAACACUGAAAAAAAAGAGAAUACUGGAACAUGGUGUCAAAUGUCAUAGACAACAAAAAAAAGUUUAAAAGAACCUGGGUCAAGGUUGUGAUGAUGGACACUAUCGCCUAUAAUUUAACAGAUUAUAUGGCCCUAAAAAUUAAAGUUGAAUGACAAUUCAAAACUUUGCUUUAACUUUCUAAAAGCAUAUAAAUAUUUUGAGACUCAAGGAAAGGAAAAAAGCUAAGGUCGGUUCACAUUUUAAAUGACAAACAUUUUCCUCAACACCUCAGGUGACAUUUUUUUGGCCUUCCUCUUGUACUCUUUAAUCAAGCUGCAUGACUGAAACUUCUAGACUUGACUCCCAUCUUCCCAUCUUGAACUUAAUUGAUGCACAUCCAGCUUCUCAGGAAUUCAGUCUUCUCUAGGUGUUAAUACUUAAUAUUCACUAUGUUAAUUUUAUGGUCAUGUUUUCCACUAUAUGAUGGCUGCAAUCUGUGCAUAGAAGGAAAGGUGCUUUGAUGAAAUGAAACCAAAAAUGACAAAUUGCUAUUUUGGGUAUUGGACUUCAUGGGGAUACUUGAAAUCUCUAAUGGAAAUUAAGGGUUACCUGAAAGUCAUAGCAAACCACUUAUAUAUAUAUAUAUGCUUAUUAUUUUAUUUCAAGUUUCUUUGUUGUCUUCUUUAUAUUAUCCCUAUGCCCAAAUGAAUUUGAAACUCCAAAUAUCUUUUCAUCGGUUGAAGUGUCAUAAAGUUUAUACAAACACACACACGCACACAUAUGUAGAAAAGAUCUAAAGGAUUGAAUGGCUCACCUUUAUUGCAAAUAAAUCUCCUGUUGUUCGCUUUCGUGCAAGGAACACUUUACCAAAGGCACCUCUGCUAAUUGGUUUGAUAAUCUCAAAAUCAUCAAUGCUUGUCCGUUCUUUAUGUAAGGGAUGUAGAGGAGUUGACAUUGUACUACUAUGGGAUGCAUUAUCAAACAAAAGCCUAGAGCUCUCCUUAAUUCUGUUAUCACUCUUGGGACUUUUUGUAUCUGCUAAUUCACAAGCGAGAAUAUACUUUUCUCUGUAACAGGAAAAAUUACCUGAGAAUUGUAUUUGGUACAAUAAAAAGAUACUUUCCUUUGAAAACUGAGGUAUUACCUUAGAAGAUUCUCUAUCCGGCCUCCAAAUGUGUCUAUUACAAGAGAUUUGAGCUUGGUAUUCUGUAAAACAUCCUGUAAGUCUUCCAUACAGGCGAGCAAAAAGUCACAGGAUCCUUCUUUAGAUAGAUCUGUGCCUGCCACACAGCGGGCAAUGUCUGCAAGGUCAGCCAUCUGUGGAAGAGAAAUUGAAUUACCAGAGUUUGAAUUUAAAUGAAUACUUGAAUGGCUAUAAAGCAUAUGUCUGAAGAGACCUUAUAAAGGGAGACAAUGAAUGUAUCAAAAUAUAAUAAAUACGUGACAAGAAAAAAGAAAACAGCUAAAUUUUUUGACAGAAAGAGUAAUUAAUGAAGUUCCAAUAAGAAAUUCACUUUUAACUCCUCAACUUCCCACAAAUUUCUGGGCCCACUACACCACAAGUGUGGAUUCAAGUUGACAAGCAACCACUUUUUACAGAAGGUUCGGUUGAUUAAAUUCUACCCUUCCAGACCUUUGAAAACCAAACUUGAGUGGGUAAUGGAUCUAAGUAAUAUGCUGACCUUAAUACAGAUUUUAGUUCCUUCACAGUAUACCUUCUCAAAAUUAUUAUCAACCAUGUAACAUACAACAUAGGAAGGAAACAAGCAAAAAAGCAGGUAAAGGAGAACACAAAUUUUAUAAAUGUAAUAAAUGCAGCAAAGGAAAAAAACUGAGUGUUCUAACUGGGAGGUUUCUUUAUAAAUAAAUUCAAAUCCCCCUAACACAUGAAUGCAGUCUACUCUCCAAUAAACCCAUGCUUUUGUAUACAAUCUACAAAUUCACAGAAUCACAAAAGGAUGGUUUGUCAUUACUCAAGCUUGGAUAAUGGCACUAAACUAAUCUCGCCUGGUAUACAUUGUUAACUUAUUACCUAAUAGAUUGAGUUUUUGGGUUAUACUAGCAUCUUAACAUGGUUUCAGAGCUUGUUCUUGUUUCUAGAGGUCUUGGAGAGUCUCUCUAAGUAUUUAUUUCUCUGUGAUCCAUUGAUCUGUUGCAUGCUUCUCCAGGUGUGGAUUAGAGUCCUAAAUGAGCAGUAAUGUUAACCUCAUAUAUAUUAUAGGCUCAUUACCUAAAGCUUAAGCCUUUGUAUUAGAUUGGUUACUUAAAUCUAGUUAAUGGUGUGCAAAUAAGAAAAGAAACAGAAUUAGGCUAAUUGGUAAUUUAACACUAAUUAAUGUGUGCAAAACAAGAAAGGAAAGAGUAAUGGUUAAAUUGGUGUAUAACACUAAUUACUAGGUGCAAACAAGAAAAGAAAAACUGAAUUUAAGGGGAGAAACACAAGUCUUUAAAAUUUGAAACAUGAAUCUGCCUUGAGCAGAAUGUUAACUUCUGACUAGACCUUUUUUUUCCUCUUGUUCUGUACUAUUUUGAAUAAGAAUUCUGCCUAACCUUAAACCUUUAUCUCUAAACCUAUUAAUCUCAAAAGCCAUAAAAGAAGCCAUCUCAAUGCAGAACUGUGUAAGAGUAUUCCUGAGGGUGUGACAAUGUCUAAUAUAGUGAUACUAUUUGAAUGCAUUAAAUUGAACAAAGAUUUUCAAGUCAGCAAGCAAAUGCCAGAAAUAUCUGGAAGAAUAUUCUUUAUUGUAACACAUCUAGGUUCUGAUCUUACAUAUAAGUUAAUUAGAGAUCAAAAUAUGAGAAAGAAACAAUAAGAGGUAUUUUUUAGCCACGUGAAUGGUGUUCAGAAAUCUUCUGUUGCUUAAUAUAAGAUAAGCUUCUUUUACAAAAUUUCUCAUUCAUCAUUUUUAGUAAAUUACAUGGGGCAUAUUUUAAGUGAAAUUAUCCCAUAACAAUAACAUUUAUUGAAGGUACCUAAAUUGUCACAAGAAUGACAAACCUGUUGCACAUCCUCCAGCUUAGAAGGAUUGUUGUGCUCUAGCCAGAAUAAGUCAAAAUGACCUGCUCUCGGGGUAUUUGUGGAGGACAUUGAUGUCAUGCUUCCAGUUGAGGAGGGUGCACCAUACUGGCUAAGCUUUGUACCCCAGUGGCCCUUCAAGUUAAGGGGGUUUGUAAGGUAGGAAUCAUCUAUGCAGGCAGUGUCCAUCUCAUGAAGGUCCUCAAACAUCCCUUCCACACCUUUAUUUCGCCACUCACUUAUCUUGGGAGAACAACCUUCAGAUAUAACAGCAGAGUUUGUAAUUUGCAUUCUUGAAUUUUCAGGGCUGCAAAAUGAUGCCUGAAAAUUCAGAUUACGUGACUCUAUAAUUUGUUCCAAAAUCUCAGCAAGUUUUGAAAGGCGUUCAUCUAUAUCUAGAUAUUUUAAAUCACACUUAUCUGCAUAAGCACAUAUAUAAGAAUGAGAUUCCAAAUGAGAAGUAGGAACAUUUUCCUCACAUAUCCGACAAAUUACCGAAUCAGAUCCAUCUAAACCCCGUUCUGGCUCAUGAAGAGAGCCAUCCUCAAAACUGUUCAUUGACUUCCCAGGGUAAUCACCAUCUUGUUCAAUAUGUGGAAGGAAAUCAAUUUGAGAAUUUUGAGACAGUGGCUUUUGUACCAAAACCAUGCUAUCUUUUCUAGAAGUUAUACCACUCUUGUCAGCUGGCUCUUCAGACCUGCACCAAGUUUGCUCAAGGAGAGAAGAUACCCUGUUUCGCCACUGUAAUUCAUGUUUGGCAUCACUCUUCCCAUUACUAUCAUAAUCUGAGCCAGAAUCAACAAUUCUGGAAUAGGGCGCCCAGUUCAUUUCAACAGCAGGAAUGCUCUCCAAACACUUUGUGAAGUUAUGAAGAGAUUUCUCAUCAAUCGGCUCACUGUCUUUCUGAAACCGCAACAGUCUAGUACAGCGUGUCAAUAUAAAAAGCAUGCGUGUGAAGAGCCACUUCAGAAAUGCCGUUUGACAAUGUUGCCUUUUCUCCGUCAGACCUUGGACAAUUGUUUCACAUUUGAUGCGAAACUCAGAUGGAGUCAUUUCCAUACAUUGCUGAGCAAGAAUCAGAAGACCUUCUGCCAUCUUUUGUCCUGGGGAUGAGUCAUUCCUCUGAAGUGCAUCCAUGAUAUCCCCAGUAAGACUAGACAGCUCCACAUUCACCACUUCUUUAGCAGCAUCAAAUCUUGAAUGCAAUGAUCCCAGAAGCUCCUGAAGAUCAACUCAAAAAAAUAAAACAAAGACAAAAAAGAAUACUAUAAAGAAUAUUACACACACACACAUGAAUGAAUGAAUGAGAGAGAGAGAGAGAGAGGCAAAUUAGUCAUAGCUAGCUGAAUUCUAGCAGGUUCUGAUCCUUUUGUUUAAAUACAUGCAAGUGCCCUACAAAAAGGACAGAUUUUAAGUUUAACCUUGUCAAAAUGCAGCUAAAUGGUCCUAAGAUUUAACCACUAUCUGGUUACAAUAUUGAGAAUAAAUAAUGUUUUGCAGUUCUAAUAAGCAUUUUUUUUAUUGGUCAUAUGAAAUUAGUGAUACAAUAGAAUACAUUUGCCAGAAAAUUUUUUCUUUGAACUAGAAAUGGGAUGGAAAGAAAAUAUGCAUUAAUACAUGUUUGAAACACUGCUUAAAAGCAUGGAAUAGGAUAUAAAAAUCCAACAUUUGGUUGACAAUUGAAUUGAAUGAGUGGAAUCACUUAUCUGGGUCUUUCUCACAUUCCCCUCUAUAUUGGAUUAAUUCCUAUUAUGGAGAUGGAUGUAAAUAACCAAUAAUCAUAAAUACUUUCCUUUAUGCUAUUGUCCUCCAUAUUCUAGCUCUUUCGGUCUUAUGUCAAUCAAUUUCUAAUACUAAAAGUCAUGAUCCAAAAAACUAAACCUCUGGUGUGAAGGAGAAAGGAAUUAAUCUAAAUAUUUAUAUUAUGAUAUAAUUUAAAACAACAUUAAUAUAUAAUAUAACAUCCUAAAUGUAUAACUUGUCCAAACACCUAAUACCACAUACCAAAUGUGGCCUAAAAUGACAAUUGCAGAAAAGUUUUCCUUCUACACAUCACAUAUACAUAUAUAUACAGGGAGAAAAAAGAUAGAGAGAUGUGUGGUCUAAAAAGUUUUGCUUCUUUUUAAGGAUUGCAUUUCAUUCUAGACUGAUUCUCUUUCAAAAAUUCAUCUAUGACAUUGGGCUUUUUUCCUCUGAUCCCAGGUUCAUUAUUACAGCUCUAUGGCAGAUAACCAUAUAGGUCAGCAGAAUACCAUGUAUAGAGUUUUUGUUUUUUUUUUAAUCAUUUAAGCUAUCAUUUGAUUAAUCUGAUCAUAUACAUUCUGUUAGGCUUGCAAGAAUGCCACUCCUCAGGAGAUGAUGGCUCAAGAAAUGAAUCUUUGAAUAGGUGUGUAUGCAUCAGUACGAGCUUUGCCUCAGGAUGGCUAUUGGUAUGCCUCGAGAUGAGUGUGGAUGUCUUGGGAUCAUUGUGAUGUUGAAUGCGAUAAAAGGGUAUAACCACACCCUCACCGAUACCUAAUUGGUUUUUCAAAUGAGAUAACUAAAACCUUGAGCCAAUAGAACCACACAACCAAUAUUAAUCCUUUUAUGACAUUUUUCUUAGGGAGCAUUGUUGGUGCAUAUCUAACAAUCCUUCUCCCAAUAUGACCCAAGAUAUGAACUUGACCUUGAAAUCAAUGUUAUGUCAAAUGCUAUAAAAGGGCAUAGUCACACAUUCAUUGAUGGUCAAUUGAUCUCCAAAUGAAAUACUUAAAGUCUUGGGCCCACACAACCGCAUAAAGAAGUUUAAAUAGACUUUUAACUUGACCUUACUGGGUCAACCAAUAUUAGUUCUUUAAUGACAUUCUUUCAUGUCGAGUAUCAUUGUUGGGUAACUAAAAUAAAAUCUAAUGUUUUCAUACAUAUAUUGUUUUCUUCGAUAAAAUAACAUCAAUAUGUGUAUUAUUGCUUGUUUUAUCAUUUUUUGAAAAAAAUUUCAACAUUUUUUGUAAGUUUUAAUCAAUUUCUGUCUCACAAACAUUUUUUGUCUAAAUUUACGUAUGAUAUUUCUGAUAUCUCCUGAUACUUUCAUAAAACUCAGUCGCCAAUAUUUAUGCAAUUUAUGAUAUUUUAAUCCUUGGGUUAGCAUAAUCAUUUUAUAACAUUGAAGUCACUCAUCUUGAGCCUUAACCAUCCCAAGGAAACACUAAUCUCAAGGGUCAUACUCACCCAUCCCUAGGCUCCUAACUUUGAGCUAUCAUGUUUUGAGAACUAGCAUUGUUGCAUGCUUAACAAUCCCUUCCUUGGGGCACACCUAUCAAGGGUUUCAAGUAAUGACAUUGUUGUAUACCUAGCAGCCACCACACCUCCUCCCAAGUAACACUAAUCUCAAGGGUUGUAAGAUAUACACACCCAUUCUUGGGCUCACUUCUUUCUCAUCAUGGCACUCUUGUAACUCAAACCCAGAACAUGCCUUUGGUAGUACUUUUUAAACCUAAGGUUUAAUCAUCUCAAUUCAAAACCAAUUGGCUACUAAUGUGUUCAAGCUAAACCUUUUUAAUGGUUCAACAUCACGUUCACCAUCAUCACAAGUCAUUGACACUCAUAUCCAAGCAGUAAAACCUAUUUUGGGUCCAUUUCUUUCCCGAGAAGUCAAUAUUAUUCCAUACCUAACAAUCACUCUUUCAACAUGACGUACUUAUGACUCAAGUCCAUGACCUAACUCUCGAUACCAUAUGUUGGCUCUAAGGCUUUAGUCGUCACAUCUGAAACUAAAUGGUUGUUAGUGAUGACGUGGUUGUACUCUUUGAUGGCAUUCAACAUCACAUUCAUCACAAUGCAUUCACACUCAUCUUGAGGUAUCCAGACACAUCCUAGGUUAAUUUCUUUAACAGGAAGUAGUAUUGUUGCAAACCUGGCAUAUUCAGUCAAUGUUCUAGAAAGGCAAGGAUAGGGCAAAGCAUUACAACCCCAUGCUCCCUCUUUAUUUCAAAUGUUCUUUAAUGAACACCUACCACAGAAUUACAUAUAUUUUAAACCCAAAAACGCCUCAUAAUUCUAGUUGUUAUUCUCAUUCUUAAUUCUUGACGGUAAAUCUUGAAAAGAUGGAAAGAUUUAAGCCAUGUAAACAUCAUACUUUUUAAACCUUAGAGAAGAUGAGGAAAACUACAAAAUUAUAUACAAAAUAAAAAAAUAGAUAAUAGUUGAUCAUGUAUAGAUGAGGUGGGUGUUACUGUGACGUUUAUGUCUAACUCAAAAAGUUUACCUUCAAAGCAAUGAAAAACUGUUAAAGGGCAUGAUAUGCAUUGUGAGUCGAAAUCCUAACAGAUUAAACUUGUAGAAAAAUUGAUUUUCCAACAUGAUAUCAAAGCCUCACUUAGCAGAAAGCCAUGAGUUCAAAACCCACUGCAUGUUUAUUUCCUAAAUUUACUGAGCUCACGUUCAAACCCAAAGGAUUGAGCUCAUGAUUUAUGGGUUUGUCUGUCUCUCCCCAUACUGGUAUGAGGCCACAAGUGAGGGAGGGUGCUAGAGAUGACCAACAAAAAUUACUGUAUAAAAUUCGAGAUGAUCUUAAGGCCUGAUACAGUAGUCAAACAGUCAAGAAAAGCAACAAGUUUUUACCAACACUUCUGCAUCAACAAUUUAGCAAUAAAAUUGCUUCAUUUUAAGGAUGCUAACCAAAAGGAUCAGAUUUAGCAUUCUCGGUUACUGCAAUGGCUUGCAAAAUCUAACCAAGUUCUUGUUCAAGCAACUAUAGAGAUACCUUCAAAUCAUUGUAGCUAUGCGCCCGAGGAUGGGAAGGUGGAAUGCCACCCUUUGGUCCUAACUCAUGUGAAAAACUUUUUAAACCUUUUGGCACUUUAAUACUGCUUAAGCCCUCUGGUGAAGAUUGUUUUCCAGUCAAAUGCUUCCCCUCCUUCCAUUGUUUAGUUCUUGUAGAACCUUCCUUGUCGGGUGCCUUGACUUUAGAGUUACUGUCCUGUCAAAUUAGGAACAGGGCUUGAUUAAAAUUAUAAGCAUAACAUAAACCAUCGUUUGCUUUGUAAGGAAAAGCUCACCUGAACUUUUGGAGGAACAUCAUCAAAACCUUGACUGGAAUCCUUGGAAAGAUGUGAGGUGAACCACCGAGCAAUCUUCUUUCCUUUAUGGAAUCCUGUGGCAGUUAUAAAACCAUUAAGUUUUUAUAAAGUUUCUGCAAUUCUUUUACUAUGUAAUCAAAAGGUUUUGGUAGAAGAACUAGAGAACAAAGAACACUGAAUUGGAUAGAAGAUGGCCCUGGAUAAAGUUGAAUGGUGAUAAAGAUUCACUUGCCUAACUUCAAGUAAUUGAGGAUUAAAGCUUAGAGUUCAGUUUAAAGCAAGCAAUUGACCAUAAAUUUGCUACAAACAACAUGCAUCUAUAUGACCAGAAAAAAAUUCUUAUUUCUGUGGUAACUGUUUUUCCUCCAUAGGAGGGGAAUUUCAGUCAAUUACAAUUUUUCUGCAGAGACCAUUAUCAAGCACUUCUUUCAAGAAUAAAGUUUCGUUGCUGGGAGAACUGCGGAAAGGAAAAGAAGUGAGAUGUUUAGAAAAUUAUUUUUUUUCCUAUUUCUUUGGUUUCCGCGAAAGAAAAAUCAACUCAAUUAAACCAAUACGCUCGAUCGACCGGCGGCUUUGCUUUUUCUCGGCCCCAAACAAUGAAAGAACUUGUCUUCAAUUUUUCUAAUUUUUUUCCUGUUCCGAUAUUUUCUCGGCAACCAAACGGAACCAAGCUGAAUUAAGAAACUCAACAAAAAAGCACAAGAAUCAAAACCGUAAACCUUCUAUAGAGCCAGCGAAUUUUGCAUGUCCUUUGUUAUGCUUCUGAUUCGCUGGCGGCCUUGAAAUUCCACGAGGCCGCGACUCAUGAAACUUAUCGUCAUCAUCGGGUUUCCAAUUCAGUUGAUCCUUGGAAGACUCUCGACGAGUCUUGAUCCGAUUCAACCCGGUCGGAAUACCGAUUUCUGUUGAAAUAUCUCCACCGCUUCGAAUCGGCUCCGCCAUUAACAAGAAUAAUUGGAGCCAAUUUAAAACGGAAAUUAACUGAUACGCUGAGUUCCGUUGGCGGCCACGGAGGCAGAGAGCUGAAAUAGUCUGGUGAAGAAAGAUAAACAAAUCAAAAAUAGAAAAAGGAAAAAAUUUAAUAUAAGAAAAGAAAAAAGAAAAAAAACGCACAAAAGGGAAACCGGCACUUGCUUCCUACGACUGACACCUGUCCCUGGGAAGGCUAAUUUCUCAUUUUCUCGUAGUGGACUGAGCACGCGAUUUAGGCGUUUUGACUUAUCGCAAAUGGUGGAUUAGCUAGACUCGUCUUUUUGAUCUGCAUCGUUGAGAGUGGAGAAACUCGUGACGAUAUGACUUAAAACCACUGGCGCUGGAGUGCCGCGUGGAAGCCACGUGGUUUUGGAUGACGGGGUUAGGUUGUGGGAUGACGUGUGAAAAGAAGGCGGUAUUUUUGUUGUGGCCGUUGGAAGUUGGAAUGAGAUGUGGACAGUAGACUACAAAAAACUGGUACUGGUGGAGGUUGGUUUUGGGGCGUUCUCCAGUCUCAAGUCCAUCAUGGGUCUUUCCUUUUUGGGCUCAAAAUAUUGGGCUUGCACACAAGCCUACCCCGUACUAGUCACAGUUGGACCCACCAUGCCCAAGGCAACUUCCAAUUGACUUCCUCGCUUUUACUCGGUGGCUGCCGUGGCAGAUUCUCUUUUUGUCUCUUAUUUCGUUUUGGUUUUUUUUCGAACAAAUACGUUGAAAAUGAAACGUGAUAAACAAUUAUGCCAUUUCAUACUUGACAGUUGAGGAUCGGGUUGCCAAAAUGCCUUUUGUGGAUUGGCAUGGAAUCAUUAAGAACGGGGCAAUUCGCCUAACUCAGAAGUCAGGACGGAGACAGAAGAGGCUGAGCAUGAAAAAGGAGGAACCGCGUGAUCAGUUUGCAUUAUCAUCGUCUAGGGAUUCAUUACCAAACCAAUUAUCUUGCCCUCCUGACCUACUAAACCUUCAGAGCAUAUCCUAUGGAACUUAAAUACAGCAAUCCUGGCUCACUAUUUGAGCAAAACAACCAAGGUACAAUUUAACAUACUUCUACCUUUAGAAUUUUUAGAAGUAAAAAAUAUAAAUGAUUUUUCAAUUAUAUGUUUAAUUUAUAUAAAUAUUAAAUGUGUUUAUACACAAGAAAAAAAUUUAAUGAUUUUUUUUUAAUGAUUUCUGAGUGAAUUUUCAGGAAUUAGAUAUUAAGAUUUUUUUAUUUUUUAUUUUAAGUAUGGAAAUAAAAGUUGAACGGAUGUAAAUUUUUUGUCUGAACCAGUUACACAUGGAUGGAUCUACUUAAUCAAAAUGAAAAAAAAAUAAAAAAAUCAUCUGGGUAAAUUAAGGCGGGCCAAACCCAAUGUUCACUUUCUUGAUAAUGGUCAUAAAGUGAAUCGGUUUUUAAAAACAAAGUUGUGAAGUGGGAAAGGAAAAAGGAGAGGGAGGAAGAGAGAGGCCAAGGAAACGGAAAUAAGGUUGUGAGGAGGAAAGGAGAGAGCGUGAAGAAUGUAAAAUCUGUAAAAUAAAGAUAAGAAAAUAUUUGAUGAAUAGAGCAUAAGAAGAUACUAUUGUUAUAGAUAAUUUUUGUGUUUUGUUACAUUUAGAUAACAAAGUACAAUAUUCAAAAUAUAAAAUAGAAACCUAAUGUGAAUUCUUUGAUGCAAUAUGUUGUCAGAGACUUUAGUGGAGAGGUUUUAGGAUAAUAGUUUGCAUCAUUGGGAACUCUAUAGCUGGUGUUAUCAACAAGAUGUUGAGCAGAAUUUGUUGGAAAGGUUUUAGGAUUCAAAUAACUGUUUGAAUUAUCUAAAACCUUAACUCCAAUAAGAUACUACUCUUUUAUUUGUUUUCGUGAAAAUAUAGGCAAAGAAAGAAAUUCAUUGCCCUUCUUUUCCAUCCUUAUUCCCCUUUUUACUUUCUUUCGCUAAAACCCUUAUUUUUUAACAUAAUUUUAAGAAAUAAGGCUAAAAAGAUGGUCAAUGGGAUAGAUCACGAUAGAUCAUAGAGAAGAAUGUAAGAAGAUCGAUCAAAUAUCAAUUCUUUUUCUAUCUGGUUCCGAAGAAAAUAUUAGGAAAAAAAAAAAGGACUUAGUGUCAUCUGUUUUUAUCUUUCUAAUUUAUAUUUGCUUUAAUCUUUUUGAGAAAAUAUUUAGGAAAAGAAAAUGACUCAAUGACCUUUGUUUUCAUAUUUCUAAUUACUUUCUCUACUUCAAUUUUUUUUACACAUUUUUAAAUAAUCCCUUAGAGCUCACAUAGUGGAGGAGAAAGCUUUUGGAAACUCUAAAGAAUUCUAGAGAAUUUCAAAAGAUUCGUAUAUAGCUUAGAUAUAGGCUUGUAUAUAGCAUUCUUUAGAGAAUUUUAGGGUUGUGGGGAACCUUAAGGGCUCUAGAUUGUUCCCUUGUACCUAUAAAUAGGAAGAAACCCGACUAAGCACUUAAUAGCUUUCAAACAUUGUAAAGUAUUCUAAUACAAUAAAAGAUUUCAUUUUUCAAGUAUUGCCUUUGUUGUGCAUCCUAAAUUCCCAGUCAAAUAUCUUUACUUAGUAUUAUGAACUAAGAUUGGGGUGAGGUUAACUUAACAACUCGAGGCUUGAGUUAUUUAAGUACCACACGUGAGCUUAGGAAACACCUAAGUCCAUGACAAGUGAUAUCAAAGCAUGGUUACAACAAGUAAUGGAAACAUGUCAAGCUCCAACAUUGAGAAAAUGACUAGUGAGCAAACUCAUGGAUGGGAGACUAAUCUUACCACAUAGGGUAAGGGAAUGAAGGAAAAGUUUCAUGAUGCCACUACUAGCAUAGAGGCAAGGCUAGCCAAGGUGGAGUUAACCAUGGCGGAUGCUCAAGGUAUGAACUUGAUCGAGCAAAGCAUAGAGAAAGGCUUUGAAGGAUUUAAGGGAACAAAUCCAAGACCUCAAAGAAGGCGUGCUAACUUCACAAGUUCAACCAAUAUCACACAAUGAGUUUAUAUACUUCUAAGACAAUGUGAUGGGCAUGCUUGCUAACUUGGAGUCAAUGGUAGAGACCUUGGCUACACAUUAAAGUUUAAAGACCAAGACAUUCGUGAAUAGCUAGCCAUCUACAAGUCUACGGUUUCUGCCCGGAAUCAUGGCUACUUAUGAGGCACUUAGGGUGGAGGUGUCAAAGCCACAUGUCUUUAGUGGCAAAUGGGAUACUAAGGAGUUAGAUUAUUUAUUGUGGUACAUAGAAUGAUACUUUGAGGCAAUAACACUAAUGGGUAACAUCACCAAGGUAUGAACCAUAACCCUUUACCUCAUCAACACUAUUUUCCAUGGUGGUGUCGAAGGGUUACUAAUGUGGAGAAAGGCACAUACACGAUUGACACAUGGGACGAUUUUAAAAAAGAGGUCAAAAGGUAAUUCUACCCUAAUUAAUUGACAACCAACCAAUGAUUAAUCUCACUGUUAUAAUAAUUUACCCAUUGUUCCUAUAAGUUUUAACCCUUAGGUUUUCAUGCUCCAAGCCCCAAGUUGGAUUUUUAGCCUCUCAUGGGGGUGAUGUCACAUUCACAAUCCAUAAUAGGGUAAAAAUCUAUAAUUUGAAUCAAAAGAAACUAAAAACAAUAUAUUUAAUAAAGAAGAAAAGAAAACAAACCAAAGUUCUCGUAUUCUUCCACCUUCAAUGUCAAACUCUCCGAAAGAUGAUCUAAGAUAUCUAAACCUAAAACUAAAAGAGUUUAUAUGAUAUCAUCAAUAACUUAACAUGUGGCACACUCUCAUUGGCCACUUGUUACAAAUUAUUACCUAAAAAUGAUUAAAAAAUAAUAAAAUGGUGAUUUUUAGUCAUAUGGGGUCCACUUAGGGCGGAUGGAGUGUCCUAAAUGCAAUUCUUGAGGUAGAAGAGGCAAAACAUCAAAGUGGAAGUGGGUGAAUUUGAAACUGGGGUCAUUUCGAAUUGGAUUUCGAAUUCAUAAGUUCGAUUUCGAAUUGGUCAUUUGACUUUGCGCAAUUGUCUUAAAAUGACCAUAACUUCUUCAUUUCAACUCCGAUUUGCACACUGUUUGAAGUGUUGGACUCCUGACUUCUCGAGUUUCAAAAUGAUAUAUAGUUCAACUAAAAUGGACUUUGGGAAGUACUCCAAAUUUGUCCUCAAAGUCAGAGUAUAUCUUACCACCAAAUUUUGAGUUCUAAAUUUCCAUGCAACUAAAUCUUACUUCAUGCCUCAUUUCCCAUGUUUUCUUACCUUCUUUUUUACUCCAUAAUGGUCAUUUCUCAUCUUCCAAACUCAUGAUAUCCUCAUCUUGUCUUUCCUCAUGGUUCAUAAGUCUUGACUCACUUAUUUCCGCAUUUAACACUUUCUUAAUCUUUCAAAAUCUAAAGUGAUUCAACUUGCAUCAUUUUCUUCCCUUGAACCUGAGAUAAAUCUCCAAAAUAUAAGUUAAACUCAUAACUAGAGUCUUAGCAUCAAUUUAGGUUAAGUUGGGUGAUUUAAGUGUCCUUAGGUGGACAAAUCAUAUCAAAUAUAUGCCAUUAAAGCACAUAUUUUGGCUCUAAUAAAUAAAGUUAAAGAAAACAAAUUCAGAUUUUGUAGUAGUUCAACACCUCUUGCCUACGUCCACUCUUUUCAAGCUCUUAAUCAAAUGAGGGUUCCAUUAUACUUAAAGCUUCAACUAAGCUUUCAACACUUUUACACUUUAGAUUCUGACUAUAAUGGGCUCUUACACAAUCCCUUCGAGUUUUUGCUCACUUAAAGCUUUUAACACUCAAAUAACAAGUUUAAAUCUCUCAACCUAGGUCAACAAGGGUUCAAAUACAAUUUAAAUGUUAGGAAAAAUCACAAGAGUGCACUAAGGAAUAUGCAAAUGGAGAUUUAAUGCACUAAGGAAAUAAUGAGAACUUUUGAGUCAAGAACAAGUAGGCAAACAAAUAAAUGUAGGUGUUCUCUUGGUCAUAAAGAAAUGGAACUCUCAAUUUAUUAAUUUCUAGUCUCAAGAGCCAAAAAGCAGCCUUAACUGAUCGAGUUAGGGGUUGACCAGUUGACUAACCGUUCGGCAAUAAAUGCAUGUCAGGUGACUAUUAGGCCUUAACCAGACCUCGACUGAGAAGAUAUAGCCAUCGACUAAGAAUGAAAGGCUACUGGAAGAGAGAAAAUAUUUUUUGCAGCUCUCAACCCAAACCUCGACCAUGAAGGUAUAACCAAUUGACCGGUACCCUAAUUGGUUCACCAUUUUUUAUCUAGAAAUCUAUCUUUUUUUUUCUUUUUUUUUUUCACUUCUAACACUUAUGUAAGGUCUUUAGGUAAAUGAAUAUGUCAAUUUUGAAGUGAUUUGCUUGAGGUUCAUUUGAUAAAACUCUGGUUUUAAUGGAAAUGUAACUUUAAUUCAUAAACUGCGUUUUUAAAGAUGCAUGAAAGGAUAUGAAAAUCCUAAAUGCACUCAUGCAUUCAACUUAUAUAUGUUUCCUAUGAUUAAAGGGUCUUUCAUAUAUCUUGAUCUUGCAUACAUUGGGUCAUUUGAUGAAUUUUCAAACUAACACCUGAAAUUCUUUAUAAUUCAAACAAAUUAGUAACUUAAUCAUGAUUUGUUAUCAUCAAAACGAGAUUAGGAGAAUCCUUGGGCUAACAGGAUUGAUAUAACCUUAAACACCUCAAGGUCAAGUCAGUGCCUAAGAAUGAAAAUAUUAGUUUUGACAAAUAUAUCGAUAACUCAAUUUUAUAGAUAUAUUGAAAUAUAUUGAAAAGUAUCGAUGGAGUGAAAAUUGAUCAAAACUCAUGAAAAUGUUGAGAAAAACUUUUAAAAAAUGACAUAAAAAGUAAUAAUAAACAUUUUGAAGUUGUUAUGUUGAAAAGAAUGAUAUGUAUAUAUACAUAUAGAUAUAUGUAUAUAUAAUUUGUUAUAUUCAAUAAAAAAAAUAUGAAUUUUUGUUAGUAUACAUUCAUUAUUAAGUUAUAUUAUAUAUUAUUCAAUAAUAAUAUUGUGAAAUUUGAUUAUAAUAUAUUUAAUAUUAAAAUUAUGAUUCAUUUAAUUCAAAUAUAUUUAAUAAUAUAAAAUAAAUGAUGAUAUAAGUAUUUUUUUUUUUAAUAUUUAUAUUUUUUAUUUUUAACUAAUAUAUAAAUGAUAUAAAAAAAAGACAUGAAAAUUAUCAUGACAAUUUUUUUAUUUUUAUUAAUCAAUUAAAUGAAAUUUAAAAAUAAAUAAUUAGAAUUAAUUUAUUUAAUAAAAUAUUCUUUUAAUAUUUAAUGUUUAUGAUGAACUUGAGCAUAUAUACAUAUAAUUGAAAGCAAACUUGCCCCAGUAGUCACCCAAUAUUCUAUGUGAACCUUUUGCUUGGGUUUGAAUCCCUCUAGCUACAAUCCCCUAUAAUAAAAAUUGAUAAAAAAAUUGAUAAGUAUUGAAAGAUCACCAAAUCAAUAUUUCUCCACACUGUUUCGCUUUAAUGACAAUUGAAAUUCAAAAUUUCAAUGGAAAAUCGCCAAAAAAAAAAAUUCAUCAUUGUUAGUGUUUUGCUUUGGUAACCAUUGAAAUACGAUAUUUUAACGAAAUAUUGCCAUCAUUGCCGGUGUUUUGCUUUGGUAACAACUGAAAUAUGAAAUUUUGAUGAAAUACCAUCAAUGUUUUGUGAUUUUUUUCAUCCUUGUCGAUGCUCAUGACACCUUAAAACAAAAAACUGAUGUAUGUGGAUGCUAAGAGGUAAUAAUACACUAUAAUCUCAACUAAAUUGUCUAAAAAACUGAUGUAUUGCUAGGAAGUAUUUCAAAUUCCUAAUUAGCAUAGAUUCCUUUUUUUAUAAAAAAAAAAUUAUAUAAAAUAUUUUUAGAUUAAAAUAUUAAACUUCCUUAUAGAAUAAGGAAUGUUGUUGGAAAUAUCCCUAUAAAUAUCCUAGGUCAUGAGGAAAAAAGUUAAUGAAAUAAAGAUGAACUUAUAAAGAUUAUACAAAGUGAAUAGAGAUGUGAGGAAGGACAGGAGGUACCCGAUGGAGCAAGAGAGCUCGUGGUAAGGUAGAGAGAGCUCAUGGUAGGGUAGGGAUAUGAAGAGUGAGGAAACAUAAGAUAUUUUGAUAACCUAAUAGUUGUAUCUGAUUAUGUCCUCUAUUAUAUAGUAAAAUGAUUUUCUCUCAUCCGUGGACAUAGGCAUGGUUAAUCAAACCACGUCAAAACCUUGUGUACCGUAUGUGUUAUUGUUUUAUUUUUGUAUUCUUGAUUAACGAUUUUUGCAUCAAAGUUUCCAUCACCGUAAUAUCUAUGAACCGACUAUGAACAAUUUAUCAUCUUAUAAAAAACUCUUUAACUUCUUGUAUAUUUUGUUCAACUUCUAAUACAUUUAAGUCAUGCACAAUAUAAACAAUAUCAACGUAUAUAUUCAAAUAACUAAUUAAUACAAAUGAAAUAAUAAAAGAAACUAGUUACAUAAAUAUGUAUAUAUAUUAAUAAAUUAAAUGAGACUGUUAAGGAAUUAAAAAUAAUGAAUUUAGGCUGAAAAUUUCUUAACAACUAUUCACUCCGUGUUCUCUGAUUUCGAUCUCUCAAUUUUCAGGUUAUAUAUAUAUUAAAGCCCUAUUUAAAAAUCCAAAAAGAAAAAAAAGGGAAAAAGAUAAGUAGUGGUUGCUCUGACCACCUUCCAAUCAAGGUUGAAAGUUUCAGUAGAAUUUCCAUGAAAUUUCUUGUCUCACGGGUAAUGGGAAUGAAAUAUUAGGAUGUCUAUACCAUUUUUAUCAUUUUUCCAAAAAAUUUAGCAGACAAAAAAAAUAACAUCAUAUUUGUUAUCAAUGGGAAUUCUAUCAUUAACUUGUUAUCAUUUAUUUUAUCAUAUAUAUAUAUUUUUUAUGAUGUUCCUUCAUCCUCAAAUGUUGCAUAUCAGAUGGAAUUAUUUCAAUAUAAUUUGUAUAAAUUAUUAUUAACAUUCACAUUAGUGUUGAUUGUAAACUUUCAAAAUUCAUAUUUCUCAUCAACAUCCUUUAUGUGGUUGUUGGACACUAAGCACAGAUGUUUUCGCAUUUCCUGAUGUUUUGAUCUUUGCCUCCAAUAAGACUAGUAUGAAUGGGUUUGUCUGAUUUUCAUAAAAGACUUUGCCAAACAAUUUGGAACUAGUCUUUCUCCUAAUAAAUAGGAAACUAAUCCACCUAAAAGAAUAUAGCAAAGAGAUGGCAGGAAAAUAAAAUAACAUUCCAGAUAAUCCCCACAAGAUAACUAACCAACCAAUCAAAACUAGUCUCCCCAUCACUCCUAAAACAUAUUAGCUAAAUAAAUUGAAAUAUGAAGCAAUGUAUUCAAUCUUUACCCACAGUGAUUAGCUGCCUUGUAAGGACUGAUAGAAACAAUCUUAUGUAAUGUUAGGGCAAUCAUCAAAGGGAAAGAAAACCACCUAGUAUGACCAUUUGAGUAACAAAGAGAGAAAUUAAGGAUUUUUAUAUCAAAAAUGCCAAAAAAAUUUGCCAUUAUUUUCCCUUCUUUUUUUUGUUUUUAAUGUAACUAGAAGUUACAAAAUUACAACUAUUGCAAGUUCAAACAGCCUAAAGAGCCAAACAAGGGUCCAACAAUGAAAUUUUCAGAAUAACUAACUCGUGGCAUACAAGCUUUCAUGCAAUUGAUUUUAGAAGUCAAUUGCUGUCAUCCACAGCUGGACUGUUUACAAACAUACUCUCUCUUCUCUUUUGGAAACCAGAAGACUCUAGAUUUGAACCCCUAAAUUUCAGCUCUGAAGCUGUUCUAAAAUUGGGAUCGACAGAAGCCGGUCUAGAGUUAUGAUCAGUGGAACCUGGUCUAAAGGAACUGGCUGCUCCACUAGGAUAUCGAGGGGGAGAGACAUACCUUCUUGAUGGACCUCUGAGGCCACCACCUCUCAGAUCCAUAAUAUCAGCAUUCCUAGAAGAAGAAUCAGGAAAAGCUCUAUCUCCUGAGCUGGUUCCCAAUGGAGCUCCAGUCAUAGCUGAUGUGGAAACAAAGGGAUCAUCUGGCCCCCAUGAAAUAAGUGCCUCCUUCUUCUUGGCAAAAAAUUGCCAUGCCCCAAAGAGAAAUAGAAUGAAGAACAAUACAGGACUGGUCCAUAGCAUAGUAUUAAAUUCGCCUUUAAAGACAGGAAGAUUUGAGCGAUACAUUCCAACGUAGCCCCCUCCAAGACCAAGAAUAACAAGCUUCUCACGGUCACUGGCUAUUAAGGGUAUCACUCUUCUCCGGCCAUCUACUUCCAUUGCCUGAUAGUUUAGAAAUGAUGAUCUAAUCUCAUCUAGACCUGUUGAGAAAACAAAUCGGGGGCCACCAACCCUCCCGUAAUGCUGUGAUGAGACAUUGUACACAAAAACCUUUUCCUCAUUAACAAUAAGCAAAUACCCCUUAAUUGCCUGAAAAGCAAGAGGCUCACCCAUGUCAAACCUCCUCUUGGAUCUAGCCCUACAUUUGAAGUUCACAAUAUCUCCCAACAAAAACACAUGGAACAGAUCACCAUCUGAAGUAAACCCAUAUGCUUUAGACCUCUCUGCGGCAUCAAAGACAUAGUUCUUGGCAAUAGAAUGGUUCAUCCCUUCACAUUCAGACUCCCGAACCUUCAUGGUCUUCAAAUCCAAUGACCCAGCACCAUUCUCAGUCAAAAACAAAAGUCUUUGCUUCAAGAAUACAAGUGGCCUGCUCAUUGGCUUGGCAGACCCAUGGACUGACCCAUUCUCCCUAAAAACCCUAAUCUCUCCACCGAUGUUCGUGGACAAAAUAUACCUCAUUCUCCCAAUAUGAUGCACUUCCAAGAUAGUAAUUUCCAAGCCAUCUUCCCCAGUUUCUGAAUCAAAAGUUCUAACAUGUUCCAUAGAGAGAGAACUCCACUCUUCCCCAUUCCAUGCCUCCCAAACCCUAUGCACCAAAAUCGCUCCGUUCUUAUGCCCGGUGACCACGAUACUCUCAUUCUUAGAAACCGACAUAUACGACAACAUGGCUGUGAUAGGCGAAUCAGACGAUGUAUAAAAUUCAACCAACACAUCUCCAUUCCUCAGAAACACAUACACCCUCCCCCGCUCAUCCCCCACUACCACAUACUUACUCAGCCCCUCAUAAUCCCUGAACGGCAAAAUGUUAAUGCAAGUAGCAUCCGAAUCCAAUUUCACCGCCGACACAAACUGGAACCUCUCCGACCAAAACGGGCUGUACUUUGUCACAGAAACCGCCCUCCCUUUCUCUCCGUCUCGAACCUCAUCCUUAAUCCUCCCUUCAAAUCCCUCAUCCUCAUCUUCUUUAGCCCAUUUUUUGUCACCAAACUUUCUUUGAUCAUUCUUCUCUUUCUCUUCAGCACCUAAGCUUGAACCCACGAGAUCGUGAUCCACCUUGGAAGGUUCGGAAAGGCGUGAUUCUAAUUUAGACACUAAUUCAGUAAGAUUUUUUACUAUCUCUUCAAGUUUUUGUAUUUGAAUUUGUUGACGGUCGAAAAUACUUGACUCCUCCGUGGUUUCAUUGAUAGGUAGCAGUUCGAUUGAAUCUGGGCUACAGUUGAUGAAAAUCCUGACAGCAGGUGGGGAAGCAAAAAGGAAAAGCAAAUAGAGCCAAAAAAACUUGCCUUUGUGAUGAUUCGCCAUUGAAGAGAUUAAGGGAUCAGUGUGUCGCCAUUGCAGCGGGAGCAAAUCACAGAUCUUCUGUGUGUGAAUGUUGUUUGAAGACGAAAUCCGAGGAUAGAGCAGGAAAAUCUGAUGGAUUUGGUGAGUCGUGUGACGAAAAUUUGAGAAUCGGAGCUCCACUGUAGUGAGGUUUUUGACUUGCGGAGAGUAUACAGGUGAAAUAGGGCAAGAAAUUCGAUUUUUCAGGACAAAAUACAUGUUUUUAUUAUUAUUAUUAUUAUUGAGAAAUUAAGGGAAAUGGUUGGGUGCACUCGGCUUUCGGUGUUGAUUAUCAGUGGAGGCAAGAGCAUGACACGUGGCGGGAUGGGAAAGAAACAUGUACAUUAGGGAUGGAGAAAGACAUAAGAGGGCCCAUGUGGCCCACUCUGGAAGUGUAAACGGAUAGUCUUUAUAUGGUAUAAUUGUACAUUUGAAUAAAUGAAUCAGCCGUUCAUACUUCAGCGUACAAUCAUGGCAACCGAUAUUUUAGGACCUCCUUUAAAUUAUGAAUCCACCAAUCAGACAGCAUGAAUCCACCACCCAUCGGGUCAUCACUUAUCUCUACCCUUGCGGACUCAAAUCUAGAGUCGGCAUUCCCUCUUUUUUCCAGGGACGGCUAUUUUAAUCGUCACCAAAAGGGGAGGCUGCUCCUUAUCUUCAAUCUUUUUCUCAUGAUGGGAAGCGUGAACCUUCUACCUUCAACACAAUUGCAUGAUUUCCCAAAAGAAGAUUAGCUCCAGCAUUUUUUAGACACCUAGUAAACAAGGGCAAUCGUCACUCGUCAGUGCGGAGCCACAAAUAUCGGCUGGGGAGCAAGGAUAAAAACAUGCAUGAUAGUUUAUAGUUAAAAUAUAACCAACGAAAAAAAAAUUAAUUUAAAAAGAAAAUCUAGGAAAUGUUUCAAAAGAAUUAAAAAUUACAAAAAAAAUAUAUAUAUAUCUGAUUAGAAAGUUUUUAAUAAUUUUAACAAUUUUGCAGUUAAUUUUUUUUUAAAAAAAUAAUUUUUAAAUUUUUGUAAUAAAUUUUGAGAUUUUUUUACUUAAAAUUAUCUGAAUGUAAACAUAUAAACUCCCGUGUGAAUAACUAAAUAGAAUAUAUAAUUUAAUAUGGUUAUACAGUUGAGUUAUAAACAAGUUAUUAUUUAAUUAAAUAUGAAAAAUUAUAAAUUUAGAAAUCUCAAAUGAAAAAUGAAAAAUGAAAAAAAACACAUUAUCAAAAAUUUUAUUUAAUAAAUUUCAAUUUUAUAUUUGAAAUUAUAAAAAAUUUAAUGUUACAUAAUGGAAAAUAAAUUAAGAUGAUUAUGUGUGGAAAAAAAAUGAAAUUAGAAUUUUUUUUAAAAAAACUAAGAAUGGCAAAUAGAUUUUAUAAGAUUUUGUUUGUUUUUAAAUUUUAUCUCAAAUUUACAUAUAUUUUUAUUUAUAUAAUUGAGAAUUAGUUUUUUUUCUUUUUUUUAAGUCCCUAGCUCCCCAGUGGCCAUCUUCAAAUUACUAAGUGGAAAUAUUAUGGCAAAUCCAAAAUCUAAAAAGCCAUUUUGAUAACUGUUUUCAAAAAUAAUUUUUUUUAUCCUCUAAAACAAAGAAACAAAAAUAAAAGUUUACCAAAAAAAUCAAUUUUUUAUUUUUCAUAUAACACUUUUUUUAUUGUUUUCAUUUAUUUUCUUAUGACGGUCUUAAAUAAUAAUUAUAAAAAAAUUAAAAAUAAAAUACAAUAUAUAAAAUUUAUUUUUAAAACAUAAAAAACAAUUUAAAUACAUUUCAGAUUUUAAACAGAAAAUUUAAUCUAUAAAACAUUAAAAAAUAAUUUUAAAAAACUAUUUUUCAAAAUAAUUACCCAACAGAGCCUAAACAGCCAAACUGGGGAUUCAAGAACGAAUUGCACUAAUGUUUGGCUGCGAAUCCAUGUCACAGAAUAGUCGGACCAUGCCUGAUGAUGAGCCAUGACUAUACAAGAGCACAAAGAAAAUAAACGGCUCAUGACCCUGAUGAUGAGUAUUUGAAGCCAAGGCAAUAUUGUUAGGGAAAAUCAAAAAAUAAAAAUGAAAAAGUUCCUAGCACUAGUCCUGGAUUUUCCAUGGCAAGAGCCUUCAAAUGAUUGGCCUUUAUCCUAAUUUUUGCAAAGUGAUAACCAGAAUUAGGGUUAGCACAAAGAUCCACAGCCAACACUAGUUCUGUCUUUCUUAAUACACAUUACUGGAGAAUGUUAAAUUAGCAGUAGAUUCCUGCCAAUCAAAAUCUCAAUAUACUUUUUCCUAUUUAUGAGCUGCAGAUCUUAAAGCUUGGAAAAACGGGCUUUUAUCUUUAACACAGAAUAUGGAACCUCAUAAAGACCAUCUAAUAAUGGACAAUCAAAUCAUUCCAACAAUGAAAUAUUGUAGGCAGUUUCCAUAUUCCAAUUAGGUUCUUCCUUCUACCUUUAUUGACUUCUUCGUCAAUCUGAAUGCAGCAAAUACACUUUGAUUUUCGCCAACCACAUUAUCUUGAGGGCAACUGUUGGAUUGCAGAGAAGAGCGCCUCAAGAUCUCAAAAAGAGAAGUACCCGAGGUUUUUUCGACUGCAACUUUGGUGUUCUGGGUGCUGAAUUUGGAUUGUGAGCUACUAAACUUAGCUGAAGCAGUUCUUUUCGGCCGAGUCUCAUUUUGAAUCUGCAUAUUUAAACAUACACAAUCCAUAAUCACAGGAGCAUUAUUAAAUGGACAAUUAUACUUCAGUGUUCCAGAAUUGAGAAAUAAAUUACUGAAACAACUAUAUCAAAGUAAAUGCAGUGAUGGUAAUGAAAGAAUUGGAUACAGUUGUCAGCAAAAUAUUUAGAGGAAGCUCUCCCUUUUUAUUCACCAGUCAGUCAUUAUUAACUAUUAAGAAAAACAAAAAAUCAUUUUCCUGCAUUCUUACUACACAAAAAUAUUCAAUAUGAAUUAAUCCUCAUCAGAAAGGAAAGCAUAACUCAAUAACUUGGUACAAGUUUUAAGAUGGGAAAUAAAUUAAAAGGAAACAAUUUCGUUCUGCUUUCUGAUAAAACUAACCUUAUCUGAAGAAUCCUCCGACAUUGAAAUUGUGCUCCUGCUAUUGCUGUCAUCUCGCCCAAAGAUAAAAGAUCGAACCAUAGUUGAUCCAGGCUUAUGGGAUGAUGGCAAAGACUGGUUUGAUGCUCGACCCAGGAAAGACGACUGACAACAAUUAAAAGCCUAUAGUUAGUGAUCAUGACACCAGUACUCUUCAACUUCAACCAACAUACCUGUGUUGACAUGACAUGAUACAGGUGUGGGUGUGUGAUCUUGUUCAAUACUAUUAUUUACUUCAUAUAUUAACAACUAUGAUUUUUUUAAUUUCUUCAAAAUAAGGAUAAAAAUUAAAAGCAUGAGUUUAUUUUUAUUAAGAAUAUGUUAUUUCUUGCUUAAUCAACUUAUAAUUGAUAGUUUUCUUUAUUAUAUCAUAACUAAGCACCAUCCAAAAUCAUUUUUCAGCCAAGAUCCUAUAUCCCAAAAUUUGAGAUGUGAAGCAUAGGACACCUAGACACACCUACACCCAACACCCAUAUAACAUAGAUCAGUAACACCUACAACACUAAAAACCUUGCUGCAACAGACAAUAGUUUGAAAAAUACAUCUAGCAAUUGUAUUAUGUUCAAAUGUUACAAUCCAAAAUGCUCAUUCAAAAAAUACAAAUACAAAUAAAGCAUUGAGGCGUUUUGCUUAUAAUGAAACAAGACGUAAGCCUAGAGGUAGAAUGAGGGGUAAACCUUAAUUUUAACAAAUAAAUAAAUAAAAAUACAAAAAAAAAAAAACUCAUAAAGUCACAAUAAAAUUGAGUAAUAAAAAACACAUAAACUUCAUAAUGAUAAAAUUAAUUAUUUUUUAUUGUUAAUAGUUCUAAUUUAAUUCCUUUUUCUCUCAAAAUUUAGCACUCUCUCAUGGUUUUACCAAAUAAUUUUUAACAUUACUAUUAGCAUCACUAGAAUCCUCUAAGAAAUAUAAUCAUAUCUUAUUAUUAUAUUUCUUAGAGGAUUCUAGUGAUGCUAAUAGUAAUAUAAAAGCAAAAAGCAAUGUCAAGGUGACUUUUAUCUACCCCGCCUAGCCUGGUGGCCCAAGCAACCUGCGAUCACCUUUAAUAACACUGAUUAUCCUCCCCAUUGAUAUUAAUAUCCACCAAUCCUUCUUCUUCGUCCACCAAUUAUAAUGAUAUCUUUUUUUAUCCAUCAACAAUUAGAUUAUAUAUGAGAUCAACCACUAGGACAAUCAACAAUUCUCUUAUUCUUCUCAAUCUCUCUUUUUCUCUUCUAUUUAAAGAGUUAAUUGAAAGUCAAAUAAACCCUUCAUUUUAUAAAAGGUUUAACCAAGUAGGAACCAACUACAAAAUUCAUAAAAUCCAUAUCAAAAGUCCACAAAAGCAUAGAUGAUAGAACCCAUUGAAACUCAUUGAAUAUUGAGAUUGAAGCCUCUUAUAAAAUAUAUAUUAAAAGCCCAUAAAGGCUGAAAAUCCUUUAGAUGUUUGAGGCUUAGGCCUCACUAGCCUUGAGGCUAUAGCAUCAAAGCUAUAAGCCUUGACAAGGUGAGGCUUAAGCCCUAAUUACCCAAACUAAGGCUAUAACCUCAAGGCUAAUUUAUAGAGCAUAAGGCAUAAGCCUCGAUAUUCUUUUAAAACAUGGGUUGUGAAUUGGUAUCAUAUUAUCAUGAAAGCCUUCUAAAACUUGCAUGCAAUAGAAGGAAUUGACGACUACAAACCAAACUUGCUACCAAAACUUCAGUUGGUAUAGAGUCUAUAGACAACUUCUGCUGUGCUUGUAGUAAUAUUAGCAAAAGAUAACAACCAGACACCACUGUCAUGGAAUGAAUAUAUUCUGAGACUAUACCAAAGGCAUCUUGGGUGCUAAUUCCAACCAAAUAACAUAUCAUUUAAUAUAACCUUGCCUGAUUCCACUUGUCAAAGGUGUCACAAGGACCAUGCCUUUGAGGCCUGGCUCAAGUGGUAAAGGGAUGGAGAGGGUGUGGGAGGUUCCAAGUUCAAGUCCCAAUGGGACAAAAAUUUACCUAUAAAAAAAAAUGUCACAAGGACCAUGGCAAAGUCCUGGCCUGAAAACUUCUGUUUAUGAUAUUAUCCUACUCCAACCUAGAAGUGGUCAAACAUGCAGAAAAGGCCCAAGGCUUCCAAGUAAGGAAAGUACAGAAGGAUUCAAAUUCUUUCCAUUACAUUUUCUUUAAAUGAGAAACACAUGAUCCUAAAUUAUCUAGUAAAAACAUUAGAGUUAGUUGCAGAGUUCCAGGCAGAAACAGCACAAAAAAAAAAAAAAUAGUGGAUAUUGGUUGUUGAAUCAAGAAAAGGGGCUUCUAUAUUUAAUAUCCUUUCACUCAACUUUAAAAUGGGUAGUAAAUUCAAUUCAACUAGACAAUCCCCAUAUUCAACUGGAGCAGAAUUGUGUACCUUUGAAGAGUUAUUGCUAUUUCUGCCUUUCAGCAGCAUACCAAGAACAGCUGCAAAAGCAAAAAACCAAAAAGAAUGUUAACAAUAAGUAACAAUAGAUACAACAAAAUAUAACUCUAAAGAUUGGUGAAGUACAUUGCCUAUCUUACAUGAUGUUUUUGCUUUCCUCUUAGUGUCAGGCACAAUAUUCAGCUUCUUUAUAAGACCAAAAACUUCUCUGGAAUUUUCAUCCUCUUCUGGGGACAAUAGUGUAGCCUGCUCUUCCUGUUCCAAAUCAUUAUAUUCAGGCCCCAACUUGUGAAUAAAAAAUUAAAGCAAAUUGACAAUAAAUAGUGCCAAGAAAAGCUAUGAACCAGAAGUAUUACUACUAAUAAAUAGUACUUCUGCCAAAGCAAGAAACAAAAUAAACCGUAGCUUUGUGAAUCAUAUUUGGAUAGAUAAAAACUCACAGCUUUCUCAAGUAGACGCUGUUUAACGAGCAUUUUUUCUGUUUCCUCAUCAUCAGAUGAUAAGAACCCAUCAUCCUUAUCAGUAAACAUUUGAGGAAUCAUUUGUUUUAUUUUUCUUGAAUUCAUCCGGACAAGAUUUGCUCCACCUAGACCUUCUAGUGCUUCAUCACAAAACUCUUCUUCCUCUUCAUUGUCUUCUUCCUCAUCAUCGUCAUCUUCUCCUCCAAGCAUGGCUGUUUCUCUUUGUUCCGGACCACAUUUCAAUCUCUGCAAAAGAUUGUCUGUUCCAGCUGCAUCCUGUUGCGCAAGCCACUGCUGAUGAAGUUGAUUGCGCUUUUCACCAUCAAUUGGAUUUUCUUCAUAUUCAGUUGCUAUCAAAUCAUUAAGUUCCUCAGAUCCUCCAUUAUCCUCAUCCUCUUCAUUUUCUUGGAAUCGAAUUAGGUCAUUGUCACUAUCAUCUUCCUCCUCAGCUUCAUCAUCAACAAAAGCUUUAACAGGAUCACCUUUUGGAGAUGAACACAAUUCAAUUGGUCUAUGCGGAUCAGGAUCAAUAUUUUCCUUAUCAUUGUCCUCUUCAUUGGAAGAACUGGGAAAAGGAAACAUUAAUUAUUUGAACAUGGUAGAACAUCUAUGAGAGGUGAAACAAUUUAACCAGCAGCAUGCUAACCCUUACAAAAUGUCAACAUAAUAGUCAACCUCUAAUUUGACAUUACCGGAUGAAAAUUGAAAUCACAAUUUAUCUAGCUCUAAGUUAUUCUGAUACUUUUUUUUUUUGAUGGGUCUAAGUUAUUCUGAUACUUGUAACCUACUCCUCUAUUCAACAAUUAAAAAUAGUUCUUUACAAUUCUUAACUUCAAACUUGACCAAACAGAGAAGAGUAGGUGGUAAUGGGGAAAACAAAUAGUCUGAAAUCCAGGGAAAAUAUGUAGCAGCUGACUUAGGGGGCAAGAAAGAAGAGCUAACUCUUAGUAGCAUACGAGAAAAAUGAGAACUUAUUUGAAAAGAAACAAAAUAGUAAGAGCCGUAGCAGCUCAAUCCUGAUGAGUGGUUAUGAAAUAUGUAAUGAACCAGUAAGCUAUGAACCACCAGAAAAACAAAGCAUUCAAUCCAUCAACUGCAAAAUAAAGUUUCAAAACACUUACACAUCAUCAACAGGAGCAGAAUCAAGUUUUAAGUUCAUUGCAAGUAAGGAUGGUUCCAGAACUUCUUCAAGAGGACUGCUGUGCUGUUCAUUUGGUAGUUCAUCAUUCACAUCACUUGUUUGGGAAGCACAAAACAAAUCCUACACCAUGCAAAAAGAUAUUAUGUCUUUACAAUACAUUGCAGUAUCAACAACUUCCUUUUUUAUAGUUGAGAAGUGAAGCAAACCUGUGUAUCAUCAAUAGGAGCUCGAAAUGCAUGUAUAGGUUUCUCCUCUGAGUCCUACACUUAGAUUCAAACAGAAGUUAUGUCAGGAAAAUCAGUCUCAGCACGAACAACAUCUGCUCAUCUUUCCCAGAUUCACAAGUCAUUGAAUACCACAAAAAAAAAAAAAACUUUUUUUUCUUUAAUGACAUGGAAUAGCAGUUCUAGCUAACUGUUAUACGCUCAUGCAAAACAUUCGAUCUCCAUGAAUGAGUACUAAUAGCAAAGAAAUAGUAGUUACUAUUGUCUUGAGUUUCAAGAAAUGCAUCACCCACACUAUUUGUCUGGGUCAAGAAACCCUUUAUGCAUUCAUGAGAACUGUGAAUUUAAGAAACUUGAAAUUGCAGAAAACUUAAACAUUUAAGACAUUCUACUAUGUAACAGAUUCAAUUUAUUGAGAAAUUAAAUUACCAUCUGGAGAGGAGUAUUUUCUUGACUUGAGUGGUUUAAAGAUUCAUUAAAUCCAUCCGACCUACUAUCCACAUCAGCCGCAUGUGCAACUGUCUCCUCUGCCACUUUUGUGAAUUCAUCAUCCCCUCUCUUAUCUUUGGGCCUAUUUUCUGAAUCAAGGGCAACUGCAACCUCUCUCAAUGAACUAUUGUCCUCAGCAAUAGAACAGUUAUUGUUCAGACUGACAGUUCUGCCAUGGAUGAGAACAAGUCAACAAAUAUUUUGAGACAUGAAUACCAGUGAAAACAGGAAAAAGAAAAACCCACCUUUUUGACACUUCUAGCUUCCUUUGGCGGAUCUUCUCCAAGAUUGAAGAUAUGGAUUUUUGUACAGGUUUUGCUGGUUUGAAUGUUGUAUCUCUUGUCUCUGAACAUGGAGAAAACACAAUGCAAAUAUAUUAAAUAAAUAAAAUUAUACAAAAAUGGGGAUCCUGAAAUAAACGAGACUGAUAUAAUUAACCUAAAUAGUGAAUAGCAUGUACAUGAAUUAAUAUAACACAAACCCAAUAGCGCUGAGUGGUAAAAAAGAAUUUUGGUAGCCAAACUCAAGCAGUUAGGAUACAAAGCUUUGGCCAAUUUAAUUAAAUUUGGUAUCAAAUCAUCAAUCACGUACAUACCUCGCAACAGUCUCUGAGUCUCAGCAUGAAGUUCACUAAGACGAGCUCUUCUUUCCUGCAAAAUCACAGUAAUAACAAAUCAGCAAAUCGAAAACCAAAUCUUAAAGCAAUGCAUAAUAAUAGUACCAUAAACUACCUUUUCUGUCAUUCUUCUCCCAGAGGCACAUGCAUCAAGCUUUCCAUCAUCUGCAACACUCUCAAGCUUCUUCUUCCUCUUCACUCUCUUUUGGCCCAAGUCUUCUGAAUUGCCCCGUUUCCUCUCAGAUUCACCCAUCCUCAAAUCUCCAGUUUCUUCACGCAUCUCUUCACUUGGAUCUUCUCCAUCUCCACCAAAUUCCAAAACUCUCUUAGUUCUCGACCCAUCUUCAUCAAAUGUAGAAUUCAUUUCACUACCAAAGUCAAAUUGCAAUGAUUCUUCAUUCCAUCCCUCAGAAUCAAGAGAUUCAUCGGCCUUCGGAUCUCCGAUUGCUUCUCCCUUCUCCCCGCCCUGAUCUUCUCCAUCUCCAUCAAAUUCCAAAUCCCUCCCGGAUCCCGACCCCUCCCCAGCAAAUCCAGAAUCCAAUUCCUUUCCAGAGUCGAACCGCAAGGGCCCCUCAUUUGAUUCUAGGGCUUCCGAGGAGCCAAGAACUUGUCCAUUCACUUGCUUGGCGACAACAUCAUCUGUAGAAACACUAGUUGCUUUCUUCAAACGUUUUAGCUUCCUCGCAUGUACUGGAGAGGAGGAUUGUUCUGAAGGUGAGAAUAGCUGAGAAUCAUCUUCCAUAUCCAUGUCGAAAAAUUAGGGUUUCAAGUUUUGGCAGUGAAAAAGAAAUAGUGUAAAAUAGAUGAUUAGGGUUUCAAGCUUUAAGAGUGAAGGGAAAAAAAAAAAACUUAAGAACAUUUGGGCGGCAAAUGUUGUUUAAAUUUUGGGGAAGGCGCAGUCGCUUGAUGAAGUUGUGUGAAUAUUUCUUUCGAGCCCGCCCAAAUUACCGGUAGUAGCGGUGGCGCGAAUUUUGUGGGAAUUGGGAAAGCAUUUAUACUUGCCAAAUGGACGCGUGACAUACUGCUGUGGGGACGUCGGAUAGGGCCAUAGGGGUGUUCUGGUUUUGGAUGCGGAUUUGCCUACUAUAAAUAAAUAAAUAAUAUUAUAUAUAAUUUAGAAGAUAUUUUUAAGGAUCGGUGCCUCCUUUAAAAUAAUUUUUUAAAAACAGCAAAUAAUUUUAAGAAAUUUUAGAAGAACUGUUGGAUCUUAAAUGUAAUUAACGGCCUCCUCAUUUUCAAGGAUUGAGGUUUUUACAAGCUCCAUCAUUGUCAGUAGAAAUCAGCCUUAGCUUUCUCAAUAAUUUACUUAAAAAUAAUAAAAAGAUAUUAACAACUUAUAUAUUUAUUUCCAUUAGACUAUAUUAGCAUUAAUGAUGAAUUUAGUAAAAUUAAAUUAAAAAAAAAAAAAAGACUUCAAUUUAUUUUGACAAUUAAUCUCACUGUUAUGUGAUAUUUAUGGAAACAUUUAAUAAUUAUCAAAUAAAAUCAAUAGUUCCAGAUUGAUGCCUAAUUUUAUAUAUGUAUUAUUCCGCAUGAAAACUUUAUUUUAAUAAAUUUUAUAAAGUAUUAAUUGUUUUGGAUGUAUCAAAUUUUAUGAACAUUACGACCGACUAAAAGAAUAAUCAAAAUUCAAUUUUAUAUAUAUUAUUCUCGAAAUUUUUCUUCGACCACUAUACCAUAAACCCAAAUUCUCCAGAAACAGUAUAGACAAAAGGGGCCAAGAAUGGGUCCCACUAAUUAGCUAUCUCAAUCUCAAGUCAUAUAAGUAAAUAGCUUAACACCACAUGCAUGAUCAAAGCAACAUUUAGCAUGCCUACUGAUUCAGUCAUACCUUGACCAUUCAGAAAACUCUUCCCAGAUGUAAAUUUGUUUUCUACUAAUUCUCCAAUGUAAAAUAAACCAUAUAUGGCCUGAUAAUUAUAGCCAGUUCUGCCUUAAUUUAAAGACACUCAGUGAAUUGAGGAUAAUAAUUUUUCCCAAUUCACCAUAGACCCUACAUUAUGCCUUGCGGAUGUUAGGUAAAAGAAAUACCACUCGCCACAUUUUCCAACUAUAGCAACAAAAAAGGUUAAGACAUUUUCUUUUGGAGAAGCCAAUUUUCUUGCACUUAAUACCCAUAAACUGCCUUUAGUCCGCAAUCAGCAUAGACAGUAUUAUUCAAAGGCCUCAAAAGAAGCUCAAAACAACAAGGACAUGACCAAUGGGAAGUUGUAUAACAUGUAAGUUAUUUCAAUGUGCAAACUUCAAAUUAGAAGAGUAAAAAAAAAAUAAAGAUCAUGAUUCGAAGGUCCAUGUGCUCUCAGCAAAUAAUUUCGGAACUUUCGAUUCCUCGUUCAAAUCGAUGAUGGCUGAAAUCUGGGAGAAAUAUAAGACAAAAAGUUAGAACGUUUUCACUGGCUCCAAGUUGCCGAAACGAUGAUCAUUAACUUGGCAUCAAACAGUUCAAAAAAAUAAGUGCAAACAUAAUUCCACAUAGGAGAUAUAAAUUUCAGUUAAAAAAACAAAAUUCGAUUAAGCAACAAGCAUUUCUCAAAAUUCCCAAAAUGUUUGGCUGGUUAGUUACUUUUCAUUAAACAUAUUCAUGAUAGGAAUCCGAGAUCCCUUUAAACUAGAAGGGGAUUCCCACAAAUUGAUAGAAAACAUUGUUAUGCAAAGUAGGAGCAAAAGGAACUUGAUGAUGACAGAACCUUUCUUGCAAUAAAACUGACUUUCAAAUACACAUCUGUGCAAUUUUGUAAGUUUUGGUGCCCAUCACCUAGAAAAGUGGGAAGAAGAGAAUUCCCCCCAUCAAAUAGCUAAAGUGAAGAUAUUAUCCAUAUCAUCAUUACAUCAUUUCAAAAGAGAGGAACAUUAAUAGACUCACCAAGUUUCAAAAAGCAGCCACUAAGAAAGAACUCUUUCUGAACUAAACAUAAGUUUUUCAUAUAUUGAAGGUGAAAUGACCAUUGACCAUGAAUCUCAAGCAUCAGUUAUUGCCCACAAAAAAUCCAUCACACGGCUUAUUUCCAUCCUAACAUUAUCAUUUUGGUGAUAAGGGUGACAGCCCUCACUUUUAAUUUAGGUGCCAACUAGUAUUUUACAUGAAUUAUGUAAAAUAAAAUGCAACAAUUCCAUCCCCAAGGAACAUCUACUAUUGGAAUUUCAGUAAUGAAUCCGAAAUUACACCAUGAUAAAACUAGAGAAGGGGAUUAGUAAUGAUACAAAGAGAAUACAUGUAACAUGACCAAGAGUAAAAAUCAGAGAUGUCAAACAAUUUUAGAAUGAAAAACUCGUGUGCAAAAGCAAGAGUGACAAGAUUCCACCAUGUUAAACAUUUACAUAUCAGAAAAAAAAAAAAAAAAAAAAGAUUCCACCAUGUUAAAACUAGAGAAGGUGAUUAGUAAUAAUACAAAGAGAAUACAUGUAAAGUGACCUUAACUAACUAUCAUAAGGAUUCUGUGAGUAUUCUGUUAGCUACUACAGGAAGGAAAUUAUCAAAGAAAUAUGAUAUGAAAGAUCCAAACUGAGAUAUUUUUAUGAUCUUCAUGGAAAGGGAAAGUAUAAAAAAUAAAAUAAAAUAAAAACUUUUUUUUAAAAAAAAAAAGGUCUCAGGGGAUUGUCAGCAUUUCAUUGGAAAUGUAGUGUCUAAAAGAAUGCAAUUCACAUUUUAGUGUGACAUGUUAUUGUCCUUCAAGGUUUCUUUAAUGAUUUAAAUGAUUAUCAUAUCACUCCUACUUAUUUACUAAAGUGACUAAAAGCACCACAAGCAAAAUGUUAACAUGAUUCAAAAUAACUGUGCUUUCAUUUAGUCAACAUUGACCAGAUGGGAUGAAUUCAAAAUCUCUACCCAAGACACAUAUCAUGCUAAAUUCUAAAAAUCAUGCCCUGCUUAAACAAUCAUUCACUUGAGCAUUUACAGAUGGCCGCAAGAUUCUAGAAUACAAACUUUUCAUUCUCUACAUAUUUAGCAGCAAAUGACCCCACAGGCAAUAGCUUCUUUCAAACAGUCAAAGCAUCAAAAAGAUUUCAGAAGAGACCAAAAAUCUCCCAAAAUUUCCAAGAUUGGCUGAAAGUCUUUGGAAUUUCUAGAGUUGUGCAAAAUAUUAUUCUUGUAUACUUCUACAUAGCUUGUAAGUUAUAUUCUAUUUAGAUUGUUUAUAAGUGUUCCAAAGGAAGGUUCUAUGGUUGCCUAUAAAUAGGUGAUCACAUUAUUUGGCUUAUUUAAUGACCUCACUUGAUGGACUAAGUGAUGGCAUCAUUUGGUUGAGACAUCAAGAACUCAAGCACUAUCAAGUUUUGUAAAGCAUGUCGUAUGGUAAAGAGUUUACAUUCUCCCAAACUCUAAGCAUGGCUUUCCUUGUUCAUCCUUCCAUGUCACUAGCUUGGUUUGAAUAUGUUGACUUCAAGUAUCUUGAGUUGCAUAACUGCUACACAGGUUGCUUAUGAAACACCUGACUAAGUAAAUGAUAAUAUCCUUGCAAACAUACACUCUAUCUAAUCUAAACAUAACGUACUUGUUAUGCUUUCAUAUAAUUGUGUUUCAAGGUUUUCGCAUUAGCAAAAAAAGAUAUCUUAGACAACCUUUCAUAACCUAUGCGAGGUUUUCGCAUUAGCAAAAAAGGUUAUCUUAGACAACCUUUCAUAACCUAUCCAACGUUUUCGCAUUGGGCAAAAACAGUUAUGUUAGACAACCUUUCAUGACCUAUACUAACAUUUUUCUUGAUUAAAUCUUGAAGUCAUUGUAAUAAUAAAAUUAAAGCAAAUAAGAAUGCAUUUGUUAAUGGAGUGGUGGAAUGAGAAUGUUAUUCUAUUAGUGGCCCAUUCUAGCAUUUGGUUGCAAGUAAGAGCCUAAAAUGGGAACAAAAACUUCAUUCUCAUCCAUGCUAACACUUAUAAAUUUCCUCCUCACCCCCUAGUUAUUUUUGCUUAUUCCCCUUCAAGAAAAAGACAAACAAAUAUUUAAAAUAAAAGGAUAUGAAUGACAAACAAAAAUUUUCAUCUUUAUAAAAUUUCACAUUUUCUAUCAUUUUGGUUUACAAGUUCUUUUAGUUGAGGAAAAUAAGAGAAAAUACAAUUGUAUUCAUCAUUUUCAUAAUUUUUAUCUUUUAUAUCAUUUUUGCUGAUGGGAGAAGGAAUACACAAUGUUUCUUAGUUCAUGUUUUGCAUUCUUCAAUCAGUAAAGGUGAAAUUUUUUUGUUAGAUUCCCAACAAAAUGAAGAAAAAAUAACAUAUUCUUUUUUUUAUAGGAAACCACACAUGAAUAUAUUGAUAGAAAAGGAAGUACAAAAGGAGGAUGAGGAAUCCUCCCGCCAAAAGUAAAACUAAACAACACGAAAAAAUAACAAUACACUAGACCGUCCCAUUAGAACUACACACUGCUAGCCAAUCAAGUUGUAAUACAUUAAAGGGGAAUGCCCUUAAAACCCGCAGAACAAAAAGCCCAAAAGGGAGCAAGGAAAUGAAUGGAGUCCCAAAGAUUCUCUGAAUUCCUAGCUUUGUCCUCAAAUAUCCUAACAUUUCUUUCCCACCACACAACCCAAAUUAAAGUUAUGCACGCGUUUUGCCACAGAACUAACCCUCUCUUGGACUUGCCAAAACCUUUAUAAUUGAUGAACAUCAUGUCUGAAAUGCUUUUCAGAGGAACCCAAUCCAUCUUAGCUAGUUGAAAUAGUCUAUGCCACAACCCCAACGUCAUAGAACAAUGAAGGAAGAGAUGAUCUGUUGAUUCUCCUUACUCCAUACACAACUUACAAAUGUCAGGGCUAAGAGCUUUGUGGGGUCUCCUCAAUUGUAGCAAGUCAUUGGUAUUUACCUUCUUGUGUGCCACAAGCCAGACAAAGGCCUUAACUUUGAAAGGGACUUGAGAUUUUCAUACAAACUUAGUGGGGAAAAACGGAGAUGAAUCAGGCAUUUGGGACAAGGCUGUAAAGAAAGACUUGACUGUAAACAAUCCUGAAGACAAUAAGGACCAAGAUCUCGCGUCUGAAGCAGAUGUGGAUAAAUUCAUAUAAUCAAGAGAGUGCAUGAGGCGUUCUAGAUCUUCUAUCUCAGAAUCGAUUAGAUUACGACGGAAAUUAAAGUUCCAUGAGAAAGGGCGAGCCGAACCAACAAUUGAAGAUAUAGGAAUAUUUUUAUCCAUUACUACUCUAAAUAGUCUUGGAUAUUGGUCUUUAAAGAUUUGGUCCCCCCACCACAAAUCUUCCCAAAAGCAAAUUUUUUCCCCAUCUCCUACGACAAAUCGAAUAUACUUGGAAAAAUCCUGAAAGACUUGUGAAAUAACAUAUUCUUUUAUUUAACUAAUUUUAAAAAAUGGGGGUUGCCAAAAAAGUAGAGCAAAUAUUAAAAAGUGGGACUACUAUAAACAUAUGUUAAUUUUCUAACUUCAUUUCUAGAACUGCUGAAAAAAUAAAAUAAAAUAAAAUAAAAUAAAAAAUGAGGAGUGAAUGCAACUCUUUAAUUCUAGGAAGGAGAAUGAUACUUAUGGAAGGAAUUUUCCUUUAACUUCAAAUUUCCUUUAUCUAUAAUUUUAUUAAUUAUAACUAUUGGUUUUAGAAAGGAUUCUUCUCAUUAUUAUAACUUCUUUGUUGUAUGACUCUCUACUUUCAUGGUACUUAUCAAAAAAAAAAAUGACCCUCUAGUUUCAUGGGAAAAUAAUUUUUACAUUUUCUCUUUAAUUUUUUGUAGAUUCUAAGCUAAAAUAAGAUACUAAUUGCACAAUUACCAAUUCAAAGCUCAAUCAAGAAGGAAAUAAGAGGCUAAAGUAGAAGGUUGAGCCAAGAUUUCUACAAGAAGAUCAAAUAGAGACCCUUGUCACAUGUCCUAAAGGCAUAGUGCCAGGACUAAGGGAGAAAUGUAGCAUCUGAAUCUGAUACUUUCUAAUCACAUGGCAAAAAUCUCAUCCAAAGGCAAGUUAACGUUGACGAGAAGACUCAAAGCCAAUGUUAGAUCUUAUUGAAGUGAGAUUUGAUUCCCAUUAUAACGGCUUACAAAAACAAGAAUCCAAAGCAAAAAGGAAUGCAAGGAGACUAAAAGCCAAGUAGUCAAAUGUUAUUGAAGUCAGAUUAGAUCCCCAUUCCCCACUGUAAGAGUUUGAUCCACACUUUCUUUACUGUUAUACUGUGGCUUUAAACAAAUCAAUUAAUCCCAUGGGUUAUUCUAAUUUUAUAAAAGAUAAAAAACAGAGGAGGACGCAUUUAGUUUUUAGGAUUUGAAAAAUGUCAAUCGAAAAAAAUAAAAAUAUGUCUAGGGGAAGCAAAGGUGGUAGUUGUUGGUUUGCUAAGGAGUAGAAGUCUUUCGAGAUUUCGGUCGAGAAUGCUGAUGGGAAGCUACAUGGAAUUAUUUUGGAGAGAAGUAAAGGUUUCUCCUCGUGGAUUAGGUUCGGUGACUUCAGUUUGAGAUGUUUGUUGGAAGGGGUGGAAGUCUGCUGCAAGAAGGAAAUGUGUGUGAGUGUUGUAAAAAGUUGGGAAGAUGAGGGUAGGAAAUUUAGAAUGAAGAGGCAUUCUAACAAGGCGUGAAGGUUCAUCCUCUAUUCUGUUCUCAAUCUGGAAGCAAAGAGGUUUUGUUUAGUUUUUUUGGAAAGAAGAGGGAUCCUUGGGGGCUGGGUUAAGCUAGCCAAGAAGCUGCACUCUCUUGGUGUUGUCACCCCUGUUGAAGCGAAGGUGGGUUCUAGCCUUGUUGGUGAACGGGUCGAUAAGAGGGGUGGAGACCAGGUUGAGGUAGAGGAUGGGAGAAGGACCUUUGAUGAGGUUGCAAGGGCAAAGUUCGGAAGAUUAGGUGAUGCAGUGUGGCUUCAACUUGGGGGCAGAGACUUGAGGAGUAGGGAGGAGCAAUUGGGGAGCUGUUUGGUGGGACGAUGGGGAGAAGCAAUAGUUGAGGUUCCGGAUUUGAAUUUGUUAAGGAGAUGGGGGUGCGUCAUUGGAACCUGAAGAGAAGGGUGAGCCUAUCGAAUUUGAGCAAUGGAUAUUUUAUGAUGGAAUUCAAAGUUGCAGAGGAAACAUAGAGGAUGUUGAGAAGGGGGGUUCGACGCUUUGAGGACAAGGUGCUUCAUUUGGAGAGGUGGGGACCCGAGGUGGGUUGUUUUUGGGCUGGAGUUCAUGCUAAUCAAAUCUAGGUGAGGGCAGUUGGUUUGUCGUUACACUUUUGGAAUUGGGAGGUGCUUAAAAAGGCAGGGGACAAUUGCAAAGGGUUUGUUGUUGUGGAUGACGACACAUCUAACUUCCCACAGCUUCAAUGGGCCAGGCUCUUAGUAAGGUCUGAGGGAAAAGACCAACCUGGGACGUUACAAUUGGUGGGGGGAUCUAAUUGUUUUGCAAUCCAACUAUGGUGGGAAAUGCCACCAUGGGUUUCGAUGGUGGUGUCGAUGCAUGGGAAAAAUGAGCGGCCAAAGGUUAGGGAGGAAGGAAGGGUGGAUACACAUGCAGGGAGGUGCAUGGGGUUUUCACAAGCGCAAGAGCAUAUUGCUGGAGAUGGAGUGGCGUGCUCCAAUGGUGAAGUCAUAGAAAGGGAGGUGGUUGUUGACUCUGACUUGCACGGUUUGGGUAUUGUUGGGGGUGCAAGACAAGUUGCAGGAAAAGGUGGGCGGGGGAAAGCAGUUGUUAAGGAAAGGAACUCUCUAGCAGUUUUUGGAGUGAGAUUGAGUGGGGAGGGGAGUGGGCCUAAAGACAAUUGGGCCGAGGUUGGUAAGAAGAGGUGCGGGCUGGUUUAUAGAGCUCAUGAGCCUCAGUCUAGGGGCCCAUAUAAGAGUGGACCUAUGGCCCAGUCGCGGUUUAGGGUGGACCUUAAUUUGGUGGAAAAAUGGGCUGGUGGGCCUAUUGCAUGGAUUGAAUGGAGUUUCCUGAAUUGGUGAUUACUAGAUUUUGACUCAUUAAAGAGAUUGGUUGGCACAAUCUAAAGCAAUCUUUUAAGACUACUAGAUUACCUUUCUUAUUUAUUAUUAUAUUUUAAUUUUCGAAUUUUAUGUGGAAGUAAUAAAUUAGAAAUUCCCUUAUUUCCUUUUUACUUUGGGGUAAGCAUGAUUUUAGGAAAUAAUGGAUUCAAUUUUUAGAAUCCAACUCAAGAUAUUUUAAUUUUCAAAUUUUAUGUGGAAGUAAUAAAUUAGAAAUUCAUGGACCUCUUUAUAUUUAAAUAGUCAUCGAUUUAUUGAAAAAUUAUAUAGAUUUCAUUUAUAAUUUUGUGAGAGAAAAUUCUCUUUGGUUCUUUUAGAACUCUUUGAACUUAUUGGAAAAUUUUAUGUGGCAUUCUCCUUCGACUUAUCAAUCAAUCCUUCCAUAAUUGAUUGUGGCAUCUUCAUUAUACCAAAGUUCUUACUUCCAUAUAAGCAAUGGGUCGCGGUUUCAUACAAAUCUGUUUCUAGACAAUCUUGGAGUCAUUCUUGAUCCACAAGUUUCUCGAUUUCGUGAAGUGGAUCGUAUCAAUGUGGGGAGGUGGAAAGCAAUUAGAAAGGAGUUGCACUUGGUAAGUAGUAGAUUUUUUUUUAUGGUAGAUAAUGGACAGAGGGUGAGAUUUUGGAAGGAUAAAUGGUGUGAGGCUUCACCUUUUUGUGACUCUUUUCCUUCAUUAUUUGCUCUAGCCCUCUCCAAGGACGUUUGGGUGAAUGAUAUGUGGAGUUCCGCUGAUGGAAAAGGGAGUUGGAGCUCGCAUUUCUCUAGACCCUUCAAUGAUUGAGAGGUGGAUGAGGUGGACAGAUUCUUAUUGAGUCUCAAUGGGAAGAGUGUUCAAGGGGAUGAAGAGAAUAAGGUGCUUUGGACGAAGACUAAGUGCGGGAAGUUUUCUAUUAAAUCCCUCUACAAAGCCUUAGAACCAUGCUCUACAAUUUCCUUCCCAUCAAAUAUCAUUUGGAAGUCUUGCGUGCAGCCCAAAGUGAGUUUUUUGGGUUGGGAAGCAACAUGGGGAAGAGCUCUUACUUUGGAUCAAAUUCAAAAAAGAGGAUGGUUGUUAGCAAAUAGAUGUUACCUUCGCCAAAUGCAUGAAGAAUCGGUAGAUCACAUCCUUCUCCAUUGUGACAAGACAAGGACUUUAUGAGAGAUGUUUUUCACUCUCUUUGGGGUGCAAUGGGUGUUGCCUUCAUCAGUUAGGGCGACACAUUUAGGAUGACAUGGGUCAUUUGUGAGAAAGAAGAGGAUGGAAGUUUGGAGAGUAAGUCCUUUAUGCAUUUUUUUGGAUGCUUUGGAAAAACAAGGAACAAAAUUGUGAUUGAAGAUGAUGUGUUGGCCAUCCAAAAACUUAAAAAGUUUUUUGUUUGUUUUCUUUGGUUUGAGACCAAAUUAUUCAUAAAAGAUGGUCCUUCGACGUUAGUUGGUUUCAUUGAUUGGUUGGGCUCUCAUUGAGAGUGGGUUUUUUUGUACCUCCUUGUUGACAACCCUUUUUAUUCAUGCUGGGUGGGGAUCGGUGUAUCUUUUUUGUUUAGUUUGAGUCGUUGUUUUAGCGCCUCUUUUUUAAUAUAUUUUUGCCUCUCUUUACUUUUUUUUUUUUUUAAAAAAAAAGGGCUCUUUCUAUACAACUUUUUAUCUACUAUUUUUUUUUUUUCUAAGAGAUGCCUUCUCCUUCCAAUCUCUCUGGAGAACUUUUAAACUCCUAUAAUACCAUUCUCAAUCUCCAAUCUCCCAUUCCAACCAAGCAGAUGGUCCUAAACGUCACUCAGUAAUGCAAUUCAAAUGGGAACUCAUGGCCAGCAUUUAAACCAGUUAAAGAAGAAAAGAAAAUUGUAUACCUUGAAAGACUGCUUGGAAUUCCUGGACCAGUCCAGUCCUAUCACACGAUUGGAUGUCUUAUAUGUAGCCCUAACCACAUCAUCCCCGUAAACCUUGCGUGACAGCAUAAAGUCCCAAGAUUUACCAGCGAAAUCGAAACAGGGCUCGAACGUAGUCGUCCCUCCGUGCACAUAGGUGUACUUCAACUUGAAAUUAUCCUUCGUGCCAAACAUGUAACUACCCGAAACCUUGUUAGCCGAAUCGACCACAAGCGCUCCAUCCAAUGUCGUCCGAUUUUCACCUCUAUUAUGCAUGUACGUCAGAUUCAACGGCUUCCCCGCUACAUUAAUUGUGUUCAUGAACCUGAACUUAAAAUCCUGCGCCACAAAAGCCCCAUAGUAAGAGAGUAGAAAGAGAGAGCGGUUUUUUUUCCUUUUUCUUUUUUUCUUUUACAAGAAGCCCUAGUCCACCGUUUGGUUACCGAGAAACUAAGGGGAAAAAAAUGUAAAACUACAAAUCUUGAAGAGCGAAUUCCACACCUAGCUUUUGUCACAAUUACCCAGCAAUUUCUCUCACGAAAGGGGGUUUUGGGAAUACAAACCUUUUUGGGGACGUCGAAGUCGAUGACGAAAGAGCCGGGUUUCUCGACGGCGAGAGCCAAUCCGGUUAAGCUGGGGCCAUUAACGAAUGUGGCGUCGGUCAUAGAAGCUUUAAAUUUGACGUCGCCGGCUUUAGCGGCGACGGUGGCGAAGGCGGCGGCGUUGUUUUUCUCGAGUCCAUAGCUGAGUUUCAAGGAGGUAUUCAUCCAGAGAAAUGAGAAGACGAGCACACCGAGGCGGAUUAGGUGGAGAUACUCGGCCUUUGAAAUUGAACUUGUUACGGACAAGUUUCACUAUAUACUAUGUCGCGGAGCAGAGUCUUUGCGUGUGAAUCUAACCAAACUUAAAGGCAUAUGCUUUAUAACUCAUAUUUAACUAUAAAUAAACCCAACCAAAUUUUCAUUUCUUACGGGAAGAAAAUGAGAAUUGAGAAAGAACGAAAUAAAAAAUUACAAAGAAAAUGUCCUAUGGAAGAUGGUGAAGUAAUCAAGCAGCGAUUUCAUAAUUCGGGAAACUCCCUCCAAAAUUAAUUCUAUUUAAAUAUUUAAAUGCGAUAAAUACAAAUUUUAAAAAUAGUAAAACUCCCUCCAAAAUUAUUUCUAUUUGAAUUUUAAAUGUGAUAAAUACAAAUUUAAAAAAUAGGAAAAUUUAUAAGUAAAUAAAAAAUUCAAAAGUGUAAUAAAUGUGCUUAAAAUAAAAAUAAAAAAUGCAAAAUGAGAGCCUCUUUGGAAUUAUUUUAAAAAAAAUUACAAAUUUUUUUUUAAUAUAUUUUAAAAAAUAUAUAAUUUUUUGAAAAAUUUUAUUAUAUAUAUUUUUAAGUUAGAAAAUAAUUUUUCGUUUUAAAUAAUAUAGCACUGUUUUUCAAAAACGGUAAACUUUAUAGAAUAGGAAGGAGUCAUAUCAAUGUUAUCAUUAACAUAGAAAAAUAAAGAAAAAACAAAUAAAAAUGUAAAGAGAAUUUUUAAAAUUUAUUAUCUUUUUAAGGAAAGUCUUUACAUCUUAGGUAUAAAAUAUUAUCAUUUUCUAUUUUUAAAAAUAAAAAAUAUGAAACAGAUUUAUUUCUUAUUCCUAACAAAAAUUAACAGCAUACAAACUAUUGUCCUAUAAUUAAUAAUUAAUUACAUUUUUAUACAAAUUUAAAUCAUUGGUUACCUUUCAAUACUUAAUUAAUUAUGGGCCUCAGUAAAACCUGACAAACCUUAAUGGACCCCGUGUUUGAGUUUCAUGUGCUAGACCCAACAAACUAGUUUUGCAUUAGUGGGCCUGAGUUUGUUGGAUCAGAAUAUGGGCACAGUGAAUUAUUCGAACCAUGUCCAGUCAGAGGACAAAAGAGAAUGAGAUCAGCAGUUCAGGAUAACCGUAGCCAACAUCGUGCCUAUCUGCAUUACUAUGCACAAGUACAAACCGACCCACGGGCAAGACCACCAGCGUGACGAGCCCAUGUGAGAUUGGACCAGGCUGGUCCAAACAAUACCCAUAGGUGGUGCUAGGACGGGGUCCAACCACCUUUCGAAAGGUCACACACGACGCAAGCACCACCGUUGGUGCUCGACUUCAAGGACAAUUGAGUUAGGUGCUGUACUCGGAGGAAUAAUAAGCAUGUUUACUUUCAUUUGUCCUUCUUUUUGUCUAUUUCAAACAUACCAAAAAAUAAAAUUAAAAAAUAAAUAACUUAUAAUAUGAUCGAUAUGAAGUUUUUUUCGUUCAUCCAACAUGCUCUUCAAUUUUCUGCGUUUGCAAAAUUCUUUGUGAAGAGUAUAUUGCACGAUUCUCUAGGGCGAUGGUGUCCAUUACUAGUGGAGUUUCCCAUGAAGGGUUUUGAGACAAAUGUGGAGAGCUAAUUAUCACAAGUCAACCAACCUUUAUGUAAAGCUGCUUGGGCGUGCAUGAUGGCAAACUAUCAAUCCCAAGGUCUGAGUCGGAGCUCGGAAGUGAUCGUGUAUAAAUGAAGCCAUUGAGAACAAGAGACGGAGAAACCAAAUUAAUUAUGAUGACUCGAAUACAGCUGCUCUCGAAAACCUUGAGAUCAUUCACCAAAUCGUCAAAAUCACUGACCAAAGCCGUACACGAUAACUGUCGACGUCACAGCCUCGGUUUCUUCUGCUUUCACCAUUGCGCUAGACUCGGGAGACGUGGAGACAUUCUGAGAGAAAACAAGCGUGUUGGAGGAAAUACGAAGUCGCUCGGUGAAUUAAUGAAGCUCCAAGAAGAAGAUGAAGACGAAGAGGAAAAGAGUCAAAAGACAAACAAGUGUGAUAAGGAGGAAGGUGCGUGCCAACCUGAGGGGGAGAGGUUUCCGGAAAUGGUAAGAGGAAUGAAGUUGAAGCAGAAGGAGAAGCAACCGGGUCCAGGAGCAGACAUAGCAAUGAUGGAGGAAGUAAAGGAAAGGGAGCGGAGAGUGAAGGAAAGCUACGAGGCUUUGGCGAGGCUGAUAGAGGUUGAAGUGAUGGAAUCCAGUGAUUUAGAACAAGUUUUGGAUUUGAAAGAGGUUUUGUUCAACUAUCCGUUGAUCAGAAAUCAUUUGCUUGUGGAUUUGAUGAAUAGAUUCAUUAUGGAUGUGAGUAAUAGCAUAUUACAUCGCACUUAGCGUGAAUUACACUAUCUUGUUAGACAUUUCAAAGGAAAAUAAAAUCGGCCAUCGCAACUCUUUGGAACAUGUACUCUUUUUAUAUAACAUAGAGAUGUGUUUGAGAGUGUUUUAGAAAAUAGUUGUUCAAAAACAGUUUUUGAAAAUACUUUACUUGUUUUUAAGAAUAAAAUUAUAUUUUAGAUUUUAUAUCUAAAAAUUGGUUAUUAAAUGAAAGGGUUAUUUGGCUAAACGGGUCAAAAUAACCCCAUAUUUGUAAGAAUAAUUUAUCAUUUAAAAGAUACAAAAAAUGAUCAGUUGAUACAAAAAUACCUCAUUUUUCUCUUCAAUACACUUUUACUUUUCCCCUUAUUUUAUAACAUAUUAGAUUUUUAUUUUUUUUGAUCAUCCAAUUGCUCCUUCUCUUUGUUUUCCUGUAAAAAAAAAAAGUUUGAGUCUCAUCAUUGUUUCAUCUAUUAUUUAUUAUUGGUUGUGAAAAUAUGUUAAAAAUGUAAGCAACCAACAAAUUUUUUUAUAUAUUAUUAUAUUAUUUAUUUCUAUUUCUUGAAAAUUUAAAACUUCACUUCACCAUUAUAGGUAAAAUAUGGAGACUCCAUUAUCGUAUAUAUCUUUACACUCAAAGUCUAUAUAUCCUAUUGGAAAUAACAAAUAUUGAAUAAUUAUAAAAAACAUCCCUUAUAAAGUUGUGCUAUCACAAAAAAAAAACAAAUGACUAGCAGGAAGGCCAAAAAUUGAAAGAAUUCGUUCAAAUAGAGAUGUUAAGUGCACACGAUAUUGUGAUAGAUGUGGUGAUUGGCACAAUAAAAAAAACAUGCAAACGACCAAUCCCAUUACAUCCUAAAGGUGAACAUAAUCGUAUCAAUAUUGUUGAGAGUAAUAUCAACAUUCAAAAAUUCUUCUUACAACUAGUUCAUCGGUCAUUUUAAUAAUGUUACUAUAUGAUUUCUUUCUCAGGGAUGAUUUAGCCAUGUAUCUACACCUUUUUUCUUUAUAAAGGCAUGAUGGAAUGAAAUUUUUGUGUAUAUGCUUAAAUCAAUUUUUUUGAAUGAAGGAUUGAAAAUUUAAGUUAAUGUUUCAGUUUUAUCAUAUAAAUUAAUUGGUUAAAUUUAACUAUGGUUAAGUUGACAGCUAUUGUUAACCUGAACUUAACUAUGGUUGAGUUGCAUUAAUAAAUAACUUCAUUGUAGUUAAGUUUACAGUCAUAAUAUGUUCACAAUCAAAAUUUUCACAUUAAUUUAAUAGUGGUUGAGUUGCAUUAACAAAAAACUUAACUACAAUUAAGUUUACAAUCAUAAUUUUCACAUGAACUUAACAGUUGUUGAGUUAUAUUAAUAAAGAACUUAACUAAGGUUAAGUUCACAAUCAAAAUUUUUACCUGAACUCAACAAUGGUUGAGGUACAUUAAUAAAUAACUUAAUUAUAGUUAAGUUUAUAGUCAGCAAUUUUACUUAAACUUAACAAUUGUUGAGUUGCAUUAACAAAUAACUUAACUAUAGUUAAAUUGACAAUUAUAGUUACAUUGCAAAAAUUAUAACUUGGAGCAUCAAAUCAAAUUCAUCUAAGAUAACAAUCAACCCUCAACAUUAGAUAAACCUAUUACAUAGUCAAAUUUAAAUUUUAUUACCUCCAUAUAAGGAACUACUACCAUCCCUCGAUGGCUUUCCAUAACCAUAAUUUUAUGGUCCCUCAUUUAAGUAGAUAGAUUGCGAAUAUCUCAUACCUUUUCCAAUAUCCAUUAUUGGGUUUCUCUAAAACCCCUCCACCUCGCCUCUCUUCCCAAAUUGCUAAUCAUAACUCUGCUUUGAUUUUUAGGAUGUGCUUGCAUUUUGGACAUGGGACUUCAAUUUGCCAAUUUCCUUUUCCAUCUUUAUACCACCCAAUUCAUUUAUAUUUGUGUUCAUAUCAAGAGCAGUUUCAACAACUCAUUUAUUAGCUUUGUCCUUAGAAUGAUCCUGACUUUUCUUAGCCUUUGAACUCCUUUUACCAAAAUUCAAAUAACUAAAAUUUGACUUGACAUCUGCAUCAAAAAUAUCACUCGAGUUAUUGAAAUUAUUUGUUUCAUUUUCUAAUAAAUUCCCAUAUUUCAAUGAAACUCUUUCAACCCUUUCUUCAUAUGGUGUCUUUGAUGAAGUGUCCGCUAUAGAUUUUCUAUUUUUUUUUCCUUAUAAAUUAAAAGAAAAAACAAUCAAACUCUCAAAUUAUUGAAAAAUUUAACCUAUCAACACUCCGUUUGUUUCUCUAUAAAAUGGUCGAAAGUAAAAUAAACUAAACUCUAGAGCCUUACGUUUUACUCUAUUAUGAUUUCAAAAGAGUGAAAAACAAACAAGAAAAAAAAAAUCCCUACCAAAUAGUUGAAUUAGCAAAUGACAUAAUAAAUUCUCAAGAUUUUGAUUAAUUUUCUUCUCCAGUAAAAUUUCUCAACAACCAAAUAAUGGUAAAUGAGAAACAGAUAGUGAAAGAAAUUAAACAAAACACCUCUAAAACUUUGUUUAUUUGAAGACAAAACAUAUGAAAUUAAAUAAAUUGAACUUUCUUGUCUCAACCGAACCAAAUAGCUGCAUCAGUAAAUGACAAACAAAUGAUUCAAUAAUUUCACUAUUGCUUUUUCCCAUUAUUUUCUCUACAACCAAAAUCAACAAUAGAAUUGAAAUAACUACAAGAUUCGACCCACCCCGAUAAUUGCUUGGGCAAAUAGUACCUAAAUAAUCCGAGAUCUCUAUUUCUUUUCAUUUUCCAUUCACUUUUCUCAUAAACCAAACAGACUAUAAAAGAAAAAAAAAAAGGUAAUAAACUAAAAGUUAUUUGGUUAAGAUGAGUUUUAUGUUUCGUGCACCAGAAAAGAGAAUGAAGUAGAAGAAUAAGAUAUAUAUAUAUAUAUUUAUUUUCUAAAGGAAAAGAUGAGGAAUAUUAGAGCAUAAUAUAAUAAGUUGCAAGUGUUGGGAGAAAAAUAGUAGGAGGGGUAUUUUUGUCUAACUAUGUUAUUUUUUGUAUUUUUUGAUCAGUAGGUUAUUUUUACAAAUAUGAGGAUUAUUUUGACAUUUUUAACCAAAUAACCCUAGAUGAAAACACCAUAAACUCGUAUAUAAUGUAAAUGUUAUCAAAAUAUUUUCACAAUUUUCAUUGUAUAAAAUCAUUGAAAACAAUCUAAAUUUAGAGUUAAUUUCAUUUACUUAUUUGAGGUUUUGACUAAAUACAUUUUGUCCUCGUAAGUUUGAAAUUUUAUAAAAAACAUUGUUUAUUUUGAAUGAAAAGAGAGGAUCGUAGAUGAGUAAAGAUUAGAAACAACAAUGAUAAUAAAGGUUUUUAAUAAAAUUUCAAAUUUAUUGGAGUUAGAUAUAUUUAGCCAAAAUCCGAAGGGUGAUGAAUGAAAUUAACCUUUUAAAUUUAUUAUAAAAGCAACUAAUUUUUGGAUGUUUUUUUAUUAAAAAUUUAUCAAUCAUAUUUUAUGAUUCAAAAAGAAUAAAAUUUCAUCAACAUUUUGAAGACCAGUAAGAUAGAAAGCUAUAGCAAAAUUAUACAAAAUUGCAAAUAAGCCAUAAGGUCGUCCAACGUGGGCCUCUGUGUAUGGGUCUGGAUUUUAUUUGGGCCGAUGAAUAAUUACAAUCGUAGACCCACACAAAAGACAAGGAUCAAGGCCCAGAUUCUAAUUAUGUGCCCCCAGCUCCAUGAUCCAUCCAGAAAAAUCAACGGUGAACCUAAAACGGUGCGUUUUUCGAGGUCGUGUAAUAAGUAAUAUGUAAUAACCCUUAAGCGAUAACGCGCGCCUUCUUUUUUUACCUAUUAUUUUAUUUUCCAUCUACUUCCAAUCUUCCCGCCAAAACAACUUGGCGCCAUAUUUACACGCUUCUGUCUUGUAUUUCACAAUGUCUCUCUCAUCACUCUCUACACUCUCGCGGUGGAGCUUGGGCUGCCAUUCUCAGGUGAGCUUUUAUUUAUUUUUUCAAUCAGUAUGUUUUUUUUUUUCAAUGCAUUUAGAUCCGAAAACCUUGUUUUUCCUUUUUGAUUUCAUUGGAUGUGUUAUUUCUCCGAUGAUCUUGGUGUUUAGGGUUUUAUUGUCGUUCAUUUUGCUGUUAGAUCGGUAGACAUAGUCUAGAAAUGAAAUUAGGAUCUCGUAAUUGAAAUCGCGGAACUUAAAUCCCCGAUUCUAAUUAAUUAGCAUUUCUUUUAUAUAUUUUUUGUGAAUACUGGUUGUCGAUUAGGUUUUGAUCAAUCUGGUUGGUUCUGGAUUUGAUUGCUGUUGAGAAAGCUUUAGUUACUUGUACGAUGAUGUGAUUUCGUAAACCUCGAUUACCAUAGGAUUUUUUUUUAAUUUUUUUCUUUUUGGUGUUAUGCAACAUUGAAGAGUUCGUGUGUUGUAGAUCUGAAGGAAAGUGUAGAUGAAAAAUGAAGAGAUCGACAUCCCGGUGAAUUAUUGUAUGCAGCUUCUAACAGUUUUUUUGUGCAUUCAAGGAAAAAAAGCGAGAGAAAAUUGAUGAGGCUAAAUUUUUUUGUUUAAUAACGUCCCUGAAAUAUUACAUAAAACAUACAAUAUUUAAAUAAAAAAUAUUUGUGGAGGGCACUCUCUAACUAAGUUUUGGGAGGAAGCUAGAGAGGUGGAUGGAUAUAUGCGGCAUCAUGGCCAGGCUACAUUAAGUUAUAAUCCCCAUCACAUAAUUUUCUUCUCAACAUUUUCUAUAUUAAUAAGCUGAUCUAAUUUAUAUCGUCCAGGAAAAUUGCACAGCCUCACAGCUUGUGCAUGAUUUGAAGAAGGCAUAACUGCAAUAGAAUGGAGUUAUUAAGUUGCUCCAAGUUUCUAAUAAAGUGGUUAUGUUUUCAGUUAAUUGGAGGAUGGCUCCUAUCAAGUCCCAUAAUCUGAAUCAUUUUUAGGGGGAUUGAUAGAUUAGUUUCACUUCCUAAGGAUCUGUUUGGAUGUCAGGAAGUUCAAGGGAAAAAAAAAAUACGAAAGAAGCUAAAUUCGUUUGUUUGGUUCAGCAUGGAAGUAUCACUGAAAAUAAAAUACAAUGAAAAUUACUUAAGAGUUUAUAUAUUUUAAAAUUUUUAUUCUUCAUAUAAAAGAGAAAAAUGUGAAGUAAAUUUAGAUGUGUAUGUAAAAGCUUCAACCCUUCUUUUUUCUCUUCUUCAGAAUUUUCCAUAUAUUUUCCCUCAAACCCUCUAGGAUCCAAACAGGUCCUAAACAUUUUUGGAAUUUCUACUCCUUGAUUUGUUCUUGGGAUUUUUGAUUGAGCUUGUUGCCUGCUUAGUCAUAUUAUUGGGAUCUGUAGCUGAAGCCUCUAGAAGGUUUCAUGUUAUCGAUCCAUGGAUGAACUGCCUGAAGCUAGAGAAUUUGAUUAUUUCCUCUACAACCGAGUUUAGGGGAUGAAGUGGAUGUGUGUUUAAUUGCUGCUUCGGAAAUGAGGUGGAAUUGUGUUCUAGCGAGGAGCUUGUGGAAGGAAGGUUCUAAGUGUAAAAGGGGGUACCUAAAAGAAAUAUGGACUGAAGUGAAAAAUCUUUGUUAGCAAGCAAAUUAUAGAGUUAAUAGGCAUAUAGUCUUUGCAGUUGAUGUUAUAUAGAGCUUAGGUAAUGAUGGCUAUAAUUGAUGAUAUCAAUGUCAUGUUUGGGUGAUUUUGUUAAGGAAAAUUAGAAGAACAAUGGAAUUGCAAAUACUUCAGUUAAAGUGAUUUUUUCUGCUUGACUUCUACAAGAGAAUACCCUAAUAAUUAGGAUACCUUUUAACCUGCUUUGUAACAAAAUCUAUAAAGAAAGACAAUUAUUUAUUUAUUUAUUUAUUUUUUAUAGUCUCAUUUAGGAAUAAGAAAAUAAGGUUGGUCUGUAACAUUAAACACUCAAGAUUAGGAUUUUCUGAUGGAGACCGGUUGGUAAAUAUUUUGUGUAUUGUAGGGUUAACUUUUGAGGGGCUAUGCAGUAAAAGUGAAUCAAAGUAUAGGAGUAUUUUUAAAAAUGAAUAGGGAGGUAGAGUAUUAGUAAAAGCAAAUUGAUUAAAACUUUUAAAUAGAGGUACAAGUGUCAACAAAAGUGAAUUGAGGGAUAUGAGUAUUUGUAAAAGUAAUAUGAGGAGUAUGAGUACUUGUAAAAGUGUUAGUUAAAGUGAACUAAAAGGGUGAGAAUUAUGAGUGUUUAUAAACCUAUACCAAGAGGUAUAGGUGUUUGUAAAAGUUAAUCAAAGGAUAUCAAUGUUUGUAAAAAUGAAUUAAGGAUACGAGUCUUUGUAAAAACGUGGAUUGAUAGGUGUGAGUGUUUUUAAACUGAAUCAAAGAAAUGUAGUAGUGAAUUGAUGAGUACAAGUGUAUGUAAAAGUGAAUAAAUAGAUAUACAAUCACGGAGAAUAGGUGUUUGUAAAUGUUGCAACAAAACACACAUUUAAAAUUUGGGCUUCCCCUAUCUUCACAUGGGUGGGCUGGCCCUUUAGCUAUAAAAAAUUUAGUUUCCUUCUCAUGCUCAAUUUAUUUGUGUUGGUUUCCCGCUGGAAAGUUAAAACCCUACAACUUUCUGUUUAAAUUUGUGGAUCCAAGAUCGAUGCUAAUUUCAAAACUGCUGCUAUGUUACAUAUAAGUGAAGUCAUUCUUUGCGGCAGGAAAACAUUUUCGACAUUGUGAUGAAUGUGCAUACAAUAGCAAAAGGAAUAUAAAUUUCUUAUUCAUCCAAUGGAGCUCCGAAGUUGCAGUCAUCUGCACUUUAUCCAGGCUAUCAGGGGAGGCAUAGUGACAAAGUUUCUGAAUGUAAAUUCUUGUGGAAAGCCAGCACUUGUGUUCAAGCAGAUCAAAGAUAUUUAUGUCAGUGAAGAUGCCAAAACUAAUUCAGUUUCAAUGCUUAAGCCAACAGCUGAGAAUGACGGUAUUAGGGUGAAGAUUGACAGGACAUGUUUGCCAAUUACAAAGAGAGAACCGAUUGGAAGUGAUUCUGAAACAUUUGGAAGUGAUUCUGAAACUUAUGGGUCUGAUAGCCAUGGUAGUUGUGAAGAAGGAAACAGCGACUUAGAUGAUGAUUUUAGCUUCAGCAGCAUGACAUUGAAACAACUGAAGGAGAGAUGCAAAACAAAGAAAAGGAAACUUUCAAAAUUUGUUGAUUUGACUAAAGAAGACAUUGAAACUUGCUCCCCUGUAAAGCAAGAAUAUUCUGACUUGUUGCUGGAGGAUGAUGAAUUUGAUCUCAAGGAACCUCUGAUUAGCUGGAAAGCAAGGCUUACUAAGAAUUCGAAGGCUAAGAAGAGGUGCACCAGUGAGCAUAUUUCUACAUCCUCCCAAAGUGCUGUCUCAGUUGUUAAAUCUAAACUUACCCUAAGUGAUCAGGGUUUCCAGCAAUCUACCAGGGAUCUACCAACACCUGUUAAAGUUAAAGUUGAGGUUCCUGAACCUGAUUACUCAGAUAGCCAAGGUGUUGCUGAUGUUUGCUCUAUGGUACAAGUCGAGGUUGGUGGACCUGAUUACUCUGGUAGCCAAAAUGUGACUUGUGUUGCUGAGGAUGAGGUUCCUGCAUCUGAUUACUCAGAUAGUCAAGGUGAUGCUAAUAAUUGCUCUAUGGGUUGUAAUGAGCAAGUUAAGGUUCCUGUGCCGGAUUACUCCGCAACGCAAAGCGUGACCUGCAAUGCUGAUGAUUCCUCGGAUUGUAAUGAGCAAGCGGGUUCUUGUGAAGUAGUAUCCAGUAAAAUGCUUGAAAAUGACAGUGAAUCUGUUUUGGAGACUAGACACUCGAUUACUUUCACAGAACAACCUCAAGAGUGUGAUGUUAAUGAAAUCUCCUAUGAAUAUAGAGAAAAUGCCCAACCUAACUCUCUUCCUAAUGUAGGUCCUACGAUUGCAGAAACUUUAGAGUUGGAUAAUCCAGAAAGCAAUAACCAAGCCUCAGUUUUGUCUGUAUCAGAAUUUAAGAAUGAGGAUUUCAUUACUUAUCCACUGCCCCAAGGCAUCCCUCCACUAACAAUUUCUCCCACCAAGAAGCAUAACUUUGCCUCAGCUUCUCCUGCAUCAGAGAUUAAGGAUGAAGGGUACACUAUACAGCUAUUGACCCAAGACAUCUCUCCUCAAGUACUUUCUCCCACCAAGGAACAUAAUUCUGCCUCAUUUUUGCCUGGAUCAGAAUUUAGGAAUGAAGAAUAUGUACAUCUACUGGCCCAGGGCAUCUCUCCACAAACACUUUCUCCCCAGGACAUCUCUCCAGAACAUAGUUCUGACACAUGCAAUAGUUCCGAAAGUUAUUCUUUAAACAGUAGUAAUGGGGUUCAAGUGCCUGAUACUGCCAUUGAUAAUAGCCUUCAUUGCAUGGAACCUAGUUAUGGAGGUGUUGCUUCUGUGUUCGAGGACGAUCAUACAGGGGAUUUGCCUUCUACUCUUCAAGCCAGUUCUGCAACCAUCCCUGGUGGCAAGUGCAGCUCAUCUUGGAAUUCCAAUCUAUGCCAUGGUCCAACUAGCUGUUUGGUUCCUGAGGGUGAUGAUUUGCCUGCAACAGAGGUGAAGCAACUCCUAAUGUUUGCUGGUUCUGAUGCAGCAGGAAACUGCUCAUGGAGUCAUUCUUGUGACACUACUGAUGAGGAACUCACAUCAGUUGUAAUGGAAAAUUAUCAACAUUCAGAGCUUCAGCAUGGUCCUGAAAGGCUCUUUUCUACCAGAAAGGUGUGUUAUUCUCCUGUUGGAUGUUGAUUAGGCUUGUUUGGUGCUAUGCAAAUUUUUGGAUAUCAUAUGUGAAAGAUGAUAUACUAACAAUAUGGUUUCACUUUUCAGGCAAUUUCUCCAACUUCUCAGGAAAGGCUAUGUCGGGCUAUGAAUUCCAUCGACUUGUGUGAUAACCUGGAACCAUAUGGUAAGUCAUGAAGUAAUGGAUUUAAAGUUAUGGGUCUCUUAUGUUGUGCAAAAUGCAUGUUUUACCUAUGAAGUGGUUGUUAAAAACGUUGGUACCCAGGUUCUGCCAAAGAUUAGAAAACAUACUAAAAGACUACCAGAGUACAAGUUGCAAAAAUAAUAUGGACUAACAUGGAAUACGUUCAUCUGUACAAGGGAAAUCAAUUGAGUGAUGGAUAACAAUUUUAUUUGGUUUUCACAGCAGCAAUGUCAGGCAACUGUUUUGAAUAUAACUACAGGCAACUCUUCUGGGCUAAUGAAUUCAAAACACGUGGAUGGGGGUUUGAAAAUUGCUCUAAAUGAAUUUUUCCUAUUUGAUAUACAUACAUCUGAAAAGUGUGUUUGGCAUUUUCAUGUGGAUUUUGAAAUUAGUCUAUUUGUUUCUUUUAACCCGUUUAAGAUAAUGUCAUAAGGGCCUAUAAUUUGCUUUCCAUUUUGCAAGGCCCCCAUUUAUCCACUGAAAAAUUUAAGAAAUCAGAAUUGAAUCAUUUCAUCUUUGUUCAAUAUCCAUACACCCAAAUUUUCUCUUUGUUACAUUCUCUAUGAUUGAUUUUUGUGUUUUUUCUUUUCCCAGAAUGUAAAAUUAAGCUACGCUUUGCAAAACGGACAGAGGGCAGGACUUCAUCAGCAGAACCAGAUUUUGUGGGAGAUGAAGUAGAUAUUGGUCCGGGAGGGCCUGAACAAAGCAGUAGAAAUGAAGUCACUGUUAUUUCCAAGCAGAGCAUUAGGAGAAGAAAGAAUGAUAUGAAAGGUUCCCAUCCUAAAGGCAUUCUCAAGGUUCCCCAGCUUUCUCGUGGGCUACCACAUCUUAGCAAUACGUGCACCUCCAGCCAAAGUUAUUCACAGAGUGCCAUUUCAUUCUCACAGAGACAGAUGCAUGACAUUGAAUGUCUUGCAGCAAAGCUCACGAGAGAGUUGAAAUCCAUGAAGGACAUUGUGGAAGAAACGAUGCACUCUGAAGUGUGCCCAUCAUCAUCGAGAUAUGGCACUGAUGAGGUAUGUGAAAAAUGCUGCUUCCAAAACUGUAAUGCAAUACAUAAGAUUUUAACCUUCUUCUCUGAAUUGACUUUUGUGAGGUCCAUAUAUAUUUUUUUAUUGCUUUAAGUUUUAAUCAAUACCUUGCAUGCAUUAGGUGAAUAGGUCUAAUAGAUCAACUUGGGAGAUUGAAGUCAUUGUUUUUUGGUUUCCUCUAAUGACAAUUUCUAAAAAAUAAGUCCAAGCUAUAGAUCUAAACAUGUGGGCAUACCACAAGCUUUUACAGGAGUGACGCAGAGUUGCAAAUUAGUUUCAUUUCCUUGUCCACUAGCACGUAUAUUUGAUGGUUGGACUGAAAACAUGGAUUCCCAUCUGUACAAAGUUAGUUGCCUUUACCUUCUCCAAAUAGCAUUCUUAUUUUCAAAUCUGUGCCAUGUUACCCUUUUUCUAGUUAAAAUUGGACAUUGUACUGUUCUUGCUUGUUUGGAAGAUUGUUCUGUUAGGUUUUUCAUGGGUUUUUGGUUUAGCUGUAUAUCACAACUAGGGAAACCUAGUGGCUUAUCCCCUGUCGGAGCCUCAGCAGUAAAAUUUGAUUUGUCUCCUGUUAACUUAGAGUGGUUAUCAGACAGCCCAAGCUCAAGCUCACAUGAGCUGGGAUAAGUAAAAAAUGGAGGAUUUUGGUAACCUAUAAUCUUAAUGGUCCUAUGCAAUUUACAGAUGCCCUUCAUAUUUGUCCCCUCAUGUUUUUUUGCAUUCCCUAAGCAGCGAAUAGGCUUCCAGGAACAUCUCAGAAUUACACUUUUAUGUCGAGAAGUGAAAACUAAACUUUUCAUUCUUGAAGUUGUACAUAACCUUGUAAGAAGUUCUUGUGUACAUAUACAGUUUCCACUUGAACAGAUCUUGACUUUGCAUAUAUGCAAGCAUAUGUUCAUAAAUGCAAGCAUGUAGGAAUGAUAUGAUGCUUUUGUUCUAAAUUAUUUUUAUUUUUAUAUAGGUAAGAACAGCCAUUGAGAAUGCAAAUAAAGUUGAAGAAACUACAAAAAGGUGGCUUUCCAUGAUGGCAAGGGACUGCAACCGAUUCUGUAAAAUCAUGGUUUGUUUCCUAUACUAUUGAAAGAAAAGAAGAAAACAUGAGUCAUCACUUGUGGGUAUGUGAUGUUUAAUUGUUCUGAUUUUAUUCCCACAUGCCUUGAUCAAUUGCAGAGACUGACUGAGAAUGAGUCUGUUGCUUCUGGAAAUACAAUCCACAAGGAGAGGAAAAAGAUUACUUUUGCGGAUGAAGCUGGUGGAGUGCUGUGCCAUGUCAAGCUUUUUUAUGAUGGCAUGGCUUCUCCAUUGGAGCCAAAUGGCGAGAAACAGGAACUGAUGGCUAAAUAAUCUGAGAAGCGUUUGCUUGUUGUGCUGUACAUUAUACUCUUCUUGAUAUUUAGAUGCUAUGCUAAUUAAACGCUCCCACCUAAGGAUAAUUUCAAUGAAGAGCUGUAGAUGCUUGUCUUGCAUUCGCUGCAUUCAAGAUUUGAAGGUAAACCCAAAAGCUGUGAUCUUCUAUAUUUGAAUAUGUCUGCUAGUUAUACUGCAAUGUUCUCUUUUUUAUUUUUUGUUGGGGGUUCCUUUUUCCUUUUUGCUUACAUCUCCAAUUAUGUUGCAUUGUAUAGUAGUAUGGAUGAUUGCCGAGCAUGAAAUAGGUGGAAUUUCUCCGGAUAGUAGUUAUCUGAAAGCCCAUAUUCUUUUUACAUCGCUUUUUGGAGCCUGUGUAGUCAUAUCAUGUGUUAGAAAAUUUUGAGACAUCGGUUAUUAAUUCGGGGGACAAGGUCAUCAUAACCAGUAUCAUGCUGGUAUUAUUACUGACCAUGUCCCGAAACAUGGUUUACUUUUGACAUAUGAUUGGCGCACUAACUUUCAACCUCUUUCGGUUCGAUGAUUUGCAUUUUCUAUAUUGUUUUUGUGCUGGAGGAGCGGACAAGCACAAGUAAGAGGGAAGUAAAUUUGCCCAGUCGCUUUAAAACUUAAACGUUAAAUGGUUACUAUUGUUUUUGGUUUAUUGGUUUGAUUUUACUGACUAAUAAUUGGGUGAAAAGGGUGAUCUUGAAUUUGUUGAGUUCCCACCAAGAUGAAGGAUUUUAUCAAGGCAUGUCGAAAUAAAAAAUAAAAAAAAAAUCAGGUGAGAGAGCUUGUGUUUUCCUAACCUUUCUCUUUUCAUCUUUAAUUAAAAUGUUCUUGUGUUUAAUUCUCAUUUUUAAUAAUUUCUCAUUUCUUUACGUAACAAUUGUCGGUACCGAGAUUCAGUGGAUUUAGGAUUUCAGAAAAAAGAAUUGAUGCCAAAUCAAUUUUCAACUAUCAAUUGUCAUUAUCAAAGGCUCUCAAUUUUCGUUAAUUUUAAGGUCCUAAAGAAAUUAAAUCAAAACUUUUUCUUUUUAAAACUUGAAAAAAGAGAUUUGGAAUUGAAUUGAAUCGAAAUGUGCUGGAGAGAGGGGUCUGAAGUCUGAACUGAACACAACUGGCAAAGGGAAAACUUAAUUAUCAGAGCAGAAGGUAGUCAGACACGUACAGCAUGCCUUUUUGGCAACAGAAUAAUGCCAAUUCAUUGCCCAGCGUUUGGUCUUUUCAUUUCUGUCCACUUCCGGUAAUCUUUCCAUAUUUUGCGGUACAAAUUCUUCUUUUCAAAAUUUGUUGGAAACUUGUGUUUUGAUGGAUGAUUUCGGAAAUAUAUGAUUUUUGGAAUCCAAUUUUAUAAAAUAUGAGAAUCAGAUUUUGAUUUUAAUAUGGAAAGUAAUAUUGUUUUUCAUGCACUCUGAGCUGAUUUCAUUUUUUUAUGCCAAGAUUAUCCUUUCAGGUCUCCCUUUUUGGGUCUCCAUUAUCGAUAAAAAAAUAGGUAGGAAGUUGGGUUUAGCUAUAGUGGUGGCGACGACGAUGGACCGAUGCGGAGCUAUGGCGACAAUGACCUUGGCACCUCUGGAUUUUUUUUUCCUUCCGCUACUACAACUAUUGUUAAGAUGGAGGUGGAUCAGCGAUGAAUAGGUGUUGAAGGAUUGAAAUUUGGUGUAGUGAAGACGGAGAUGGUUUUAGAGUUGGAAGUUGUCGGAACUGGAGAUGUGAAAAAACUGUAACGGUGAUGGUGGGUUUUGGCCGCGAUUGAGGGUGAUUAAUGGCGACAAUGGCUGACACUUACCUCAUGCGACGAUCGUAUAGUGACUCUACUUUAACUCUCUCUUUUUCAGUGGAAAAACCCAAAAAACAAAGAAGAUGAUAAAUCGAAAAGAUGACCCAGGAAACCUGUUCAAAUUUCAAUCGGUGCUAACAUGGAGGCUUGGAUGCUAUUGUGGAAGAAAAAUCCGGAGGUGCCAAGGCUACCAUAACUCCACAUCAGUCCAUCACCCCUGCCACCAUUGUAGUUAAACCCAAUUUCUACCUUUUUUUUUUUUGGAUCGGUAAUAGAGACCCGAAGGGCAAUUUUGGCACAAAAAAUAGAGUCGGCUCAGAGUGCAUGAAAACAAUAUUACUUUCCAUUUUAAAAUUUGGUUCUCAUAUUUAUAAAGUUGGGUUUCAAAAAUUAUAUAUUUCCCGAAUUGCCCCACAAGUUACCCAAAAAAAUUUCUUCCAUUUUUUUUUGGGAAAAAUAAAUAAAAAGUACAACCAAAUAGCAGUUAGACUUCUAAGGAAGCGUGUAACGACCAAAUAGCAGUUAGACUUCUGAGGAAGCGUGUAUAUAUGUACAUAUGAUUUAAAAUGAAGUAUUUAUUUUCCGUUCUAUUAGCAUUUUCCAUUUCCAUUUUAAAAAUGUCGUUGACAUUUCUAAACGAAGAGUAGAAAGUACCUCAUUAUAAGAAAGAAGAAUGUAAUGAGACAACAAUGACAAUAUACCAAAAUAUCUAGUACGAAAUGAGAUGACUUGUCAAAUGGAUGAUGUGCCCUCAAUUGAAGAUAAGGGGUAGAAUUUUGAACUAUGCUAAAGACAUAACAAAAAAAAAAAAAGAGGCUAAGAAAAAUGUGGCUAAAAUAUAUACAAGCAACAUAAUUAUAAAUCUGGUUAUAGGUAAAACCAGAUUGCAAAAAUAAUUAUGUAAUUAGAAGUGAAAACAUGUGGAAUGCCUUUUGCCUCACCCUCUCCCCCUUUCCAUUUGAGUGGUGUCUUUUUUACCUUUCCUAUAGCAUAGAUUUUCAGUCUACUUGCUCGAGUGUUUUGACAAAUUUUUAAAAAUUUGGAAAGGAUAUUGUGAAUAUAUUAUAAAUUUGCAAAAAUAAUAUAUAGACAUUUAUGCUAUACUUCAAUGCUUCGGAUAAUAUUGAAGUAAUCAAUAUUAACUAAUAUGAUAUCUCAUACCUAAGUUUUAACAAAGAUACAAGAAUUUGUAAAAUAAUAAUUAAAUAAGAAGAUUUCAUCGAAUAGAAGGUGUUGAAAGUGGAAGAUUAGAAUGGUUUGAAGUUGCUGCUCUCAUAUAUUAUUGAGUAUGACAUAAUAAAAUCGAAUUGGUGAUCCUCUUCUUCAGAGACACCUCGAAACACGUCGAGCCAUUGGUGGUGAUUUACAGAACAAACCCUCCCAAACCACGGAGAAGGCCUCCACGAUGAUUCCGUGAUGCUGCGGCGAAUUCAGGGAUAGAAAACAUUGCAGCAGCUGCUCCAAAUCCUUUGUUUCGAACAUCUGUUUCUCCAUUAUCAUCUCCACCAUCGACUUCUUGAAGUCUUCGUACGGAUCCUUGGAUUUCUUCACCACCGCGAAGCUCUCUCUCACCUUCCCAUCUAAUCUACACGGUAUCCUGCCUUGGUACACCGACACUCUCGCUGGCGACUCAGCUUCUGGCGACGAUGUCGUUUUUGGAUUUCCGCUGCCUGAUGAUGAUGAGGAUGAUGAUCCUGUUCUGCAGUUCUUCGAAAUGUGGCGUUUCAGUCGUCGAGCCUUCUUUGAAUUGUUCAUCCUAUCGCGCUUGCCUACGACGCUCUUUGAUUCUUCGCUUAUGGUCUCUAGUGGAUGAUUGAAUUCGAAAGAAGAGUCGUUCGAGAAGCUUCUGGAAGAGGAGAGUAGGGUUUCGGUCUCCUCGUCAUAGUCACCACCUUCGCUGCUGAACCAGCCACUAUCUCCCGAAGACGUGCUUGUGCGGACACUCGGGACCGUCCCUUUCUUCUUUUUCUUUCUCACUUUCUUCUCCUUGGCCAUCUUCUGCGGUUGAUUCGGCGACAAGUCGCCAUCGGAUUCGCCAGGAAAAGGGGAGUAGCAAAUUUUCCGGCGAGGGCCGUCCUCGUAGACUCUGGAGAUUACGUGCCACUUUCCAUCCUUCUUCCACGAGUAUUCCACCGAUUCGGUGUCGCAGUCGUAGGAGGUUUCAGACCUUACACCCGAUCCUCGCCGGCAACCGCAUCCCAUUGGUACAGUCUUCACACGACGUCUGCGAAAAGGGUGCCACGGUGUGGAGGGUGGAGGAUCGGGGACGCUUGGAAAAGCAAUGUCCAACCCCUUACGGUUGACCGUCGAGAGCCUAUGAGACGCCGGCACAGGACUUUCCGGUAGAGCAGAACGGUUUCUGGAACGGCAGAAUUGGAGGGAAUGAAUCAGAGAGAAUCGGAGCUUGAAACCCUUACCCAUCUCUAAAAUCCUUAAUCCUCCUGAGAAAAAAAAGGUCACUCCAAGGCUGCAAUAUAUAAGCAGGAGGCCGGCUUCAAUAUUGCAAAGAUUAGAGAUAUGAUCCACACGCAUUAGAGUAGGACCCCCCAGCUUUGUAUUUUCAUGAAUGACUCAAUCCAAGUGAUAAUGCCAGAAUCCUCACUAAAUUGAAUUCCCUUUGUCUCUAUGUACUAUUUCAAAAAUGCCUACAAAGCGAAAUGACAAUAUAUAAAAUGGACGUACCUCCUUUAGGUUCACUGCCAGAGGCCUCUUUGGAAUAAACCUACUACCACGUAGUACAUAGCCAUUGAAGUGACCACCAUACUCUACUGUUUCCUCAAAAGCAAAUGAGGCAAUUAAUUACCAAAUCAAAUGCUUUUGGAAAUAAUAUAAUUAUAAAAGGAAAUGUCUCUGUGUUCUACCUUGAACACAAAUCAAUCUUCCUAUAGAAGUUGGCUUUAAAAUCUUUUCCUGUGCAGCUAUUUAAUGAGCUAUUUAAAUUCAGAGUAAAAAGUAAUUGAAAAAAAAAAACAAGUUGAAGAAGCACCCUCACAUUUGGUCAGCAUUUAUGACUCAUGAAAAUUAAUGCAGUGAGAAAUUGUAAAUUAAUUUAUUUUUAGGAAAAUAGUAUUUGCGGAAUGAUUCCGAUUCAAGUGAGAGCGGCUUCAAUGGCGAAAAAGAAAGCUUCAAAUACAGGCGAGAGGAACGAGGUGCAUCCAGCCACACUGACGACGGAUUCAACGCUACAGCCCGGCUAUGAAAACACUACACAUUACAGUACGUCUCCCACAUUAAUUUCUCUGUGUUUUUGUUACAUAUUUUAUUUUAUAGCAUCUAUUAUUUUAUUUUGAUUCUGACAAAACUCGUGUCGAGAGCUGGCUGGCAAAGAGAUCCAAUCAUGCAACACCUGGACAAAACAAUAACCACUCUGGACAAGAUGGAAAAUUCUCUUCCUCUUGGCUCAUACGGUAAUCCACGAAUAGGAUUUAAGUUGUGCCACCUCGGCUGCGAUCAAUUGUUUGAUGUGCCAUAUAAAUUAUAAAUUCAGCUAAAGAGUAAAGAACUAAUGACUUUGUCAGGAGAUUUUUAGAUUUCCCUUUUUUUUUUCCGGUUCUUUUCCACAAAUACAUCAAUUUAUUAUGUGUAUUUUAAAAAAAAAAAAAUUAAAUGUAGAUUAUGUUAUGCCAAAGAAUUUGUUAGGAAAACUAUAAAGUUUCUUAUAGCAGAUUAAUUUGUCCCGGGGCCCAAGACCAAGCCCAGGCCCAUUUAAUCGCUUACCCACUGGAUCAAACGUGGUAUUACAUUGUUUUGGGCUUGAAAGCAGUUGGAGAUGGUCGCCAAAACAUAAGAGAGGGAGAAUACAAUGAUGUUUGAGCCACUACUCCAACUUCCAGAUGGGCAAGUCAACCCUCACGGCUUCAUCUGCCACGCCCCAAUACCUAAAACAUACCUUUGAAACACUCAGAAAUUUGACGUGUCGUGCUGUCAUUGGCAACAGUAUAAGUGGAAAUAACCUUUCAUGUCCGGUCUGUAUUGGAUUAUGAGGCACGGGGUCCUAAAAUAAACAUACUAGUUUGCCCUAAAAUCGUGCCCACACGACAGCUACGAGCAAGGAGCACCUUAGGCCAAGGGGCCUUCUCAAUCUGCAAUGCCCAUUGCCCGCCCAUUCAAAAAAGCAUCCGCUCCAUUGAAACAAAGCCAGAAGGAGGAAGGAGUCCAUUCGGGACCCCUAUCCUUCUUCCUCUUUCCGAUUCAUUCAUUCUGUUCUAUUUCACAUAUAUAUUUGUGAAUUGAACCAUGAGGAAGCUGUGUCCGAAUUUUGACAAAGAAAAUGGGCUGGAGACAGUGCUGGAGGUGCCCAUUCCAGAGGAGAUGUUCAAGAGCAUGGGCAGCAAUGUGGCCCUGAGAUGGCAGAACAUGCGUGCUUUCAUGAAGGGGCAAUGUAUAGAUAAGGCUUCCCGCCUGUCGGAUGGAUGUGGCCCUGAGUUUCGGUUAUUGCUUAAACUUGUUGGCUCUCCUCUUAUCCCCGUUCAGGUUCCCUUGGAGUAUGGAGCUACUUUCCCUAUCAAAGAUUGUUCUAUUGUGAGCUAUAUUAUUCUUUCAUAAAUCAUCUCUCUGUUUUUUCUCAACACAAUUAGAGAUUUGAUAGUAAAAGCUAUUUUGUAAUUACGAAUGGAACGCACGUACAGGAAGCUUCGACGGCAAAGUAUAUAGUGCAACAAUACAUAGCGGCAACGGGAGGGUGGGCAGCAUUAAAUGCAGUGCACAGCAUGUACGCGGUGGGGCAGGUCAGGAUGAUAUCAUCGGAUAUGAGCGAGGGCGAGGAAAGAGUCGACCCCAAAGGCAACGGUGAAGUUGGUGGGUUCGUCCUCUGGCAAAAGAAUCCCGACUUGUGGUACCUUGAACUCGUUGUUUCCGGUUGCAAGGUCAGCGCCGGUAGUGACGGAAAAGUAGCCUGGGGUCAGACCUCCUCUCAAGCGUCUCACGCUAACAGAGGCCCUCCAAGGCCUUUGCGCCGCUUCUUUCAGGUACGUACGUACAUAAAUGUAUCUUCUCUCAAACCCAACGAAAAAUAUAAAAUAGGAAAUUAAAAAGAAAGGCCUGAUUUCAUUGUGUGAUGUAUGUAUCUCAUUAGGGGUUGGACCCCAGGUUUACAGCCAACCUAUUCCUAGACGCAGUGUGCAUUGGAGAGAAGACCAUCAACAAUGAAGACUGUUUCAUUCUGAAGAUGGAGACGAGCGCCAGCGUCCUCAAGGGGCAGAGCACGCCCAAAACGGAAAUCGUUCACCAUACCGUGUGGGGAUACUUCAGCAUGCGAACUGGGCUGCUCAUACAGUUCGAGGACACAAAGCUAGUAAGAAUGAAGGCUGUCAAGGGAGAAGAGAGCGUGUUCUGGGAAACGAGUCUGGAAUCCGUGAUCGAGGACUACAGAUACGUGGACGGCAUCAAUAUAGCCCACGGCGGUAAGACCACUGCGACUCUGUACAGAUACGGAGAGGCGUCAAACCACAAGAGAAGGAUUGAGGAGACGUGGGGCAUUGAAGAGAUUGAUUUCAAUAUAUGCGGUUUGACGAUGGAGUCCUUUCUGCCCCCUGCUGAUCUCAAGAUAUAUCAGGACGGUGGGAAGUAAAAGCAAUUAGCUACGAUGGGAGAUCUAGUUUUUGUGUACAUACAGGUUUUAAUUCAAAAUAUUAAUUUUACAAAAAAGUUUAAAAGUGCCAUUAAUAGUUAUAUUAGUAAGUAUUUAUAACUUUUCUACCUUUUAAAAAUUUUUCAUAUCUUUCAAACAUUAAAAAAAAUUAAAAAUAUUUUCUAAAUUUAUUAUCAAAUACAUUCUAAAAGUGGGUUUGAUAAUAAUUUUAUAAAGUAUUUUUAUCAUUUCUAAUAUUUGAAAAUUUCUAUUUUAUAAGUAUUAUAAAUAUUAAAAAUAUUUUUUAAAAUCACUAUCAAACAUAUUGUAAAGUGGUGUUUAUUUUUUUACUUAACUUUAAAUAGAACCUUAAUGCUUAAUACUGUUAAAUAUUAGGUUAUUUGUUUUUAUAGUAUUUUAUUUUUAUUAAAUAUUAAAAAAUAAAGAAAAAUUGUCAUAAUAUUUUUUCUAUUUAAAAAAAAUUAUAUAUAUUUAUUUUUAUUAUUUAAUAAAAAAUUUAUAAUAAAUCAUUAAAAAGUAAAAAAAUAAAUAAUUUAAAAUUUAAAAAUAAAUUACUUUCAAUAAAAAACCAAAAAAACAAACAUCACUUAAGUUCCUUUUGGCCAUCCCGUGAUUAAAAGUUUUAAGUAGAUAACACGACUUGACUAGUCACGUUUUUUAUGUCGAGCCUUCUUUGAUGGAACUGCCUAGUUGGGUCAUAAUUUUGGCCCAAGCCUCCUUUACUGGUCCACGGGCUGGGCUUGGCCCACUGCUGAUAAUUCCUAGUAGGGAGUGGACAUUGAAAGAAGAAUAAUUUUCACGGUAGCCUCUGCAAUUAUCUUCCAAAAAAUCAGAUAAUAUUUCGAAAUUAAGAGCAUACAAAAUAUUUAUAAAAUAAUAAAUAAAAAUAAAUGAAAUCCAUUUAAUAUUUAUAAAAUUUUAACCCAAAAAUCGUUAAAUUUAGCCCGAAGUUAUAUUCAAUUUACUGCUGACGUUUAUUAAAUUCAAAUAAUAUGAUUAAAAUAUUUCAGGCAAAUGACUACUUUUAUCCCAAAAACCCCAGGCGCCGUUUUUCACACUUAUCCAUCGAAACGCGUCGUUUUAUCUCAGAACGCGGAACCCCCCACAAGAGUCGGUCUAUGAAGUAAAACCCUAAUGGUGCCAACCCCUAUUUAAAACCCUAGCACGUUAGUUCUCUUCACUUGCCGCCUCUGGUUUGGGGUUUCGAUUUCAUCUCUCUGUUCCUUUCCUAUUCUCUCCUUGGUGGGUUUUCAGCCUCGAUUUUCUUUCGUUUCCUCUCUAGAUCCGUGUGUGAAUGCAUAGUUAGUUUUACAUGAAAUGCGUGAUUUCAAAUCCAUGGGGAUUUGGAAGAAUUUCGUUAUAAUGUUUGAUUUCAAAUCGAAGGAUUUGAAGAAUUUGAUUAUCUGUGUGUUUCAUAUGAAAUGCUUGAUUCCACUUCCAUAGAUUCGAAGAAAUUGAUCCUAUGUCUUGCAUUUGUUUACCCUCUCCUGAUGCAGCUACUUUAAUGGCUAAGGAGAUAUAAUGGAUGCAGAAAGCAAGAGGUUGGCUUACCAGCCCAUUGCGCACUCUGUAUUGCAUUGAGGUCAAAUGGACCUACCGAAAUUCUCUCCUUUCGGUGAUUUUACUUUAUUAAUUUUCAUUUGCUUGAUCUUUAUGAUAUUGUUGUUCCGAAUGGCAAAUGAUGAGUAUGAAAUCUUAUCCUACACACUGAUCUUGAACUGUGUUGACUACUACUCCGCUUAUUAUCUGAUGCCUUGAAAUUUUCUUCUUCCUAAUGUUCUUGUUUCUCUUUUUUGGCCGAACUUCUUCUGGAAUCAUCAAUCAUCUAUCUAUCUAUCUUUUUUUAUUCCUUUGAUGGUUUUUUUAUAUUCGUUUUGGUUUUUCAAUCAGAGAGAUUGUCCUCUGAUUGAAUCUUCUCAACUGAUUCUUGCACAACCGUGGCAAUUUGGAUGUUUUCAUUUAUUUUCAAUAGCAUUUAUUGGUGGAAAAAAAAUACAUUGUAUCAAGUUUGUUGAUAUAGCAAGCCUGCUAUAAACAGCAAGCUAUAGAUCAGAGACAUUUGAUUUGGAGAAGGCAAAUGAUGAAAAUAGUCUUAUCCUACACUCUGAAGUUAAUGUAGACUAUAACUCCGCUUAUUAUCUGAUGCCUUCUAUCUCCUGGUUAAGAAUCCAAGUAUUUUCCUUUAUUCUUUUUUCUUUUCUGUUUUUUUCUCUGAAAAUAAAUUUCAUCGUUAUUAGCUGUUUUUCCUUUUUGUUAUUGAAACACCAUGAUUGCUGUGAUAUGUGUCAUUAUUAAUUGCUAUAAUCCUCCUGUAUGAAUGAGAUCACCUGAAUGCUGUGAGCUCUCAUGAGCUGUAGUGGAGGAAUUUGACCACAAGUAUAGCCCAUUUAGGUUUUUACAUUUUUGCUUAAAAGAACUCGAUGAUGAGAAAAAGCAGACGGGCGGUCUGAAUCUGAUGCCGUGUUGAUUGUCUGCAAAGUUCCACUUGUGGAAUUUCUCUGAGAGGGCAUCCAGUGUUUUUUUCUUUCUUUCCGCAUUUCCCUUUGUUGAUUGAUUUUAAUUUAAAACUGAAUUGAAUUGAUAGUCAAAUAGAGAGGCAGCAGCACUUGUUUGAUAGAACUGCUAUGAUGAGGUGCUUUAUUUAUGUCUGGACAUAUGAAGUUUGUCUAUGAUUUGUUAUGCAUCUUCUGAGCAGAAAGCAUGUCUGGUUUCUAAUUUGGACAUUUUUUAAUUCUUUCCAUCCUCUCAUUUCACUCGCAUGUUCUCUAUUCUAGUUUUUCUUCUGUCGGCCGUUUGGCUUCAUAAUCUCCUCAAAAAGCAACCUUCGGAAUGCUGGAAAAUGGUUUCUACUCCGAUUUCAUGUUAAUAAAAAAAAUAAAUAAAUCAGAUUACCUUUAGAGAUGCCAAGAAUUCCAAUUAGAUUAUUUUAUCAGUAAGAUUUUUGUCCUUCAUGAAUGGAACUAUGAAUAUAUUAACUACUCAAAAAUUUUACAACACAAGUCUCUAGACCUCGAAGAGAGAGGACAACUCUCUUUUGUUGUUCAAAAAAUAAGCAAAAAAAAAAAAAAAAUCUCUUAGAAAUUGCCGCCUCCACUUUUAAAAAAUGGGUGGGGUUGGAUCGGUUCACUUGGACACUCAAAUCCAUUUCAAUUCAUGUGACGUAAAUAGUGAUAUUAUUAUGAUGGACUCACGGUUUCCUCCUAUUUCAUCUUUUUGAGUUGGACUCAUUUGACAUAAUUAGUAAUAUUCAUCUUUUUAGGAUGGACUUACGGUUUCUUCCUAUUUCAUUGAAACAUGUGAACCAAAACAGGAUUUUUGGAAUGAGAAAUGGACUUUGGAUUUGAAGCGAUAGUCACUUGUCUUCGUCUCUUUUCAGAAAAUUCCAGGAAAUAUAACCCCGUCUUGCCUGAGGGGCCGCUGACAAUGGAUUAUUUAUGUAUUAAUAAGAAAGAAUUUUGGAUUAUCUGCUUGGAGCUAUUAUAAAUUCUCGCGUGGUUGUGCGGUCAGAUUUAGGAUGUGAUUCCCGGCCCCUUGUUUGUGUCCAUGGUUGUGCAGUCAAUAUUCCCACCACCUUCGGAUUCUUCUGGUCGGCUAUUUCCAGCCAUGGAGAGAAUAGUUCACUUUCUUGGACUCAAAAUUCAAAAACACUCAACCCACAGAACUGGUAAUCGAGAUUAAGAAUACUGGUGUUUCACAUGCGAUUUAUUAGAUGAAUAAACCAGAGAAACGAGGAAGCUAAAGUUUAGCACCGUUUUAAAAUAGGUCAUAUUUUUCUAAAUGAACUAGAAACACAAAGAGUCAUGAGCAAUUGUUUCAAAUAGAAUUUAGCACCGUUUUCGAAAGCUGGGAUUGAAGUUUUUUCAUUUUGAUUUGUUUUAGGCCGCGUGCUUCUUCUAAGUGUUGUAUCUUGUCUUUCGAGUGGUCUUAAAUUGAAUCAUGUUUGGUUAUAUGAUUAGUUAUCAUUUUGUAAAAUUUUAGACUUCGAAUGCUUUUCUUGGAAAAUUAAUUUAAGAUUGUAACAGGAGUUGUGGCGUGUGUCCAAUGAUAGAAUUGUACCAAUUUAAGGUGUUCUAUCCUCAUUCCGUGAUGUAGAUUGAGGAUCCUCCCUAUCAUUUAAUGCAAAGUAAGCAACCAAGAAAUAUGUACGAAAUAUAUAAUAUAUUUUGUUUUAUGUUUAUUUCUGCAUGUCCUAAUAAAAUAAUUUGAUAUUAAUUUAUGUCUUCCUUUUCUAAUUGUUUUUAAAGAUCGUUUAAGGUAUGUUUUAGGAAUUGUUUGAUAAUAGUUUUCAAAAAUAGUUUUUUAUUUUCUUUAUAAAAAAGUAGAAAAAUACAUUUAAUAAUUUAAAAACAUUUUUCCAUUUUGUACUUUUAAAACAAAAAACCAAGAUAUUUUUAGACAAAUUUUUUUUGUUGUGUUCAAUUAUUUUUACUUAUUUUUUAAUAAUUAUUUUAAAAAAUUAAUUAUAUAAAUAUGUAGAAUAAAAAAUAAAUAAAACUCUAAAUAUAACAUAUUUUAAAAUAUUAAAAACAUUUCAAGAUUUUUAUUUUAUAAAAUAAAAUAGAAUUAUUUUUUAUAAUAGUUACCAAAUAGUAAGAGAAAGGAUAGUCGGUUGAAAAUAGAAUUUAAAAUUUUGAGAGCGAAAACAUUAAUUGAAUGGUUACGGGCAUUGGCAUGGGGUUAUUGGGUGAGAGACUAUUCACUUUUAAGUGGGUUUCAUAAAAUUUAAUAUUUAAUGAUUUAAAGUGAUUUCAAAUCAAAUUAUGAUUUUUUAUUUUAACUUUUAAAUUAAUUUAUGGAAUUUAUUUUUAAUUCUAAGUUUUAAUAACUUUACCCAAGAUAUUUAAUAGCUUAGAUAAAGUUAUCCCUUUUAUCAAAUCAAUAAAUUGAUUCAUUAAAUACCUGUUACCUCAAAAGUGUAUAAUUUGUUUUCCUUUUUUAUUUAUUUUAUUUAUACAUUAGCGCAGGCAAUAGAUGCUUUGAAAAAACAAAAUGAUUUAUAAAUUCUUUACUAAUUCAAAGUGGCUGGUAAUUACUGCAAAUCAAUCAUUAAUUGUCAUCUAAAAAUAAUUAAAAAGAUAGUAAAAUUUUUGAGAAAAAUACUAUUUUCUUCUUCUAAUCAUUACCUUAUCUCGUUAAAAUCAAUGAAGAAAAAUAAGGUGAUUUAAUAAGACUUAGGAAAAUAUUUUUGAAGAAUUGAAAAAUCAAUUGUAAUAUUUCUUUGAAUAACCAUUUGAUAGAUAAUUUCUUAAAAAUAUUUUAAAUAAAAACACUAGGCAUUUGUGAUGUCCAUCAGCCAAAUGGUUGGAAAGUGGAAGCAGCGGUGAAAGAGAAUGAAAGGUGAAGUUGGAGGGAAUUAUAGGGCAAAGAAGAAGGUUGAUGUGAAACCCCGGUGAGGGAUGGGCCGUGGGCCGUGGGCCGCUGGACGGGGGGUUGAGGUGUCCCCACUCGCCACUAGGUCGGUAGUUGGAAACUUGGAAUGGGUUGAAUGCGGUUGGUGUGGGGAGACAGAGAGAUAGAAUUAUAGAAAGUCUUUUAGUGACCAACUACCCCUCCACCGUCAGUGUAGUACAAGACGCCAAUAAUCCCGUCCCAACCAUUCGACACUCAUGUACACUCACGCUCAUCUCUCUGUUUCUCACUCUCUCUCCCCAAAGGAAUAAGGAUAAGGGCAAAGGGGUUUGGAAAUUUAGAAUUUAGAAUUAGAUUGUAAGAGCAGGAAAAGCAGAGAGUGGAAAUGGAGGGGAAUCCUGCGACCACAAGCAGUAUGAAGAUGCAUAGCUCAGAGAGCGGUAACUCAUUUGGGGGAAAAGGCGGGUACAAGUUCUGGGCUCUGGCGGCCAUUCUCCUACUGGCCUUUUGGUCCAUGUUCACUGGCUCCGUCACCCUUAAAUGGUCCGCCUCUAACCUCUCCCGUUUCCCCGACGACAUCGACUCUCCCACCCACGAUGAUCUCGACGUCCUGGUUGGCCUUUCUCUUCUUCUCUUUCUUUCUCCUCUUUUUAUCUUUUGAUGGUUGAUGACUGAUGGUUGUGGGCGACACUUGGCAGGAAGUGGAGGAGAGAGAGAAACUGGUGAGGUAUAUGUGGGAUUUGUACACUCAUACCACCACUUCCCGAUUGCCACGUUUCUGGGAGGAGGCUUUUGAAGCUGCUUACAUGGAAUUGGCCAGCGAUGUUCCCUCCGUCCGAAACGCCGCCGUCCUCGAGAUUGCCAAGAUGUCCUUGCGCUCCAUUCAUCUCCACCCACUUCCUCUCCAUUCCACUGUUUGUCCCUCCCUUCCCUUUCUUCUUGUUCUCCUUCAUUUUUAGGGUUUUUAUUUAUUUAUUUUUUAUUAUCGUCUUUUAUCCAUUUUCUUGAAUGGUUUGGGGGAUUUUGGCAAACUGUUACUGUCUAAGCUUGAGCAUGAUUCUCGAUUACAAAUAGUUUUGCAAUGGGAACUAGGAGGGUUGGUUUCCUCUGCCCCCUGUUUGAAUAUCUAUUUGCAUUUGUGGGUAAUUGGCCAUAUAUUGAAAUUUGAAACCAAUAUUUGUGUUUUAGGUUUGAAUAUUUCAAAUUAUUUUUUUUGUUUUACACCAAGAUUAAGACAAAGGAAUUUUAAUGAUAGCCCUUUCUUUCUUGUCACAAUUUCAUAAUUUUGGUUACUUUUAUCUAAUUGUAAAUCCAGGAAUGUGUUUUCUUUUGUGUUCCUUAUGAAAUUGUAACUGCUCUUCUGUUCCUUACUUUCCUUUUCUUCUUUUAUUUCUCCUUUUUGUUAGAAGACCCAAAAAAAAGUAAAGAGGAUGAAUUGACAUUCGAUCAUUCUUUUGUUGUUAACUGCCAUUCAAAAUCUGGUUUGAGUAUGAUCAUAUCUAAUUUUUGUUGAUUUUUCCUUAUUUUGCCCAACUCUUUCUAGAAUUAUGGUAUUGUUUUAGGAGUGUCAUAAGAAAGCAUGUCCUCAAGAAGUAAGUUUUCCUUUCUCCUUUAGGUUGAUACUCCCCCUUCAGAUUAUUCAGGAACAUUAUAAUAUUACAUAAAAUUCCUGGUGCACUGUAGACAGCACUCACAACUUGGGAUAUCAGUGAGAGGCUCUAUGGCCAGACCCAUGAAAAUUCCAUCCCAUGUGGAUCUGAGUCCAUGUACCCUGUUAUUUCCCCAAGAAUACCUCCUUCAAGUGUGAUAUUGUCAUUUUGGGAGAGGUUAUAAGGACAUGGGUUAGGCUUUGGGUAAGAGGAAUUUCGGGCUUCUAACAGUUUAGAUGAAGGAAAAGGUGUGGAGAAAGUAGUUUCAUUCAUUUAUUUUCACAGCAAUCAAGUAAUAAAUGUCUCAUGUGACAUUUGAAAUCCCAAAUAAGUUUUUUUUUUUUUUUUUUUUAAAUGGUGUUGGGCAGGCAUGAGGUUUAUUGUGUACUAUUAAUGCUUUGCUUUAUGACAGAAAGAUGAAAUUUCAGGUAAUGAGAUUCUCCAAGAAUACAAUGUUGAUUUGCAGUCUUAUUCUUAUGCUUUUCCAGGGUAGAAGAGAAACAAGAAAGAAUGUGAAGCAAGCAGAACUAGGGAAGGAGGUAUCUGGUGUUAAUAGUAGUCAAUAAGUGGGAAAGAAUGUGGACCACUACUCAGCUAUCAAAUUUUAUCCUUGUGCUUAUGUGCUUUUGUCUUCCUGCUUAGAACUGAACAGAGGAUGAAGACUGUGAUUGGGAAAGCUUUUACAGUUUGUUUUACUUGCAAUGUCAUAGCAAAGAUAAUUCUGCUUUCAAAGAAAAGCCAAAUGUUCGUGAUGAGGGAACCAAGAAUGUAAAACUAAGUAAAUGACUCCAUAUGAAUCUCAUUCAACAAUUGUAUGAUAUGAUUAUCGGAAUUGGUGAGGAAAAUAGCACUCGAAUAUUUGGAUUUGGCAGUGCAACAGAAUUCUGUUCGUUGAUGUCGUCAUUCUAUCAUACUCCAGUGAUAAUUUUUGUGACGCAUCCAACAAUUUGGAAACUUUCCUACGCUUAGAUAUGGUUACGACUUUGAAGGCUUUAUGGUUGAAAGCAGAUGUCUUCGUUCAGAAUGUGACAACACUAGAAUGGGCCCAGGAUGAUCACCACACGACGACUCAAAAACAUUAUCACGAGAAAGUUGCUUCAUCUCCAAACAGGGGUAGUUGAGCAGCGCCCUAUCCCGGCACCCUUGUUGGGCUUGGGCCCCGCUUCAACUUAAAGAGCCGAAAUGCAUCCCCAAAUUUCAAAGCCAAAAUGACUGAAAUAUAUAAUAAUAAAAUUCUCCCAACUGUGGCAGCAGCUGGUAAGUGGUAGGCAAUCAGUCAAUUCUAACAAGAUCAGUCCGCACUAAAUUAAAGACAUAUAAUAAUAAAAAUGCCACCCCCGAAUGGAUAACAAGUCUUAAACAAUCCCACCACUUCCAUGACAACUCCGCAUUCCUUCCUUGAGGGGCGGACAAAUCGAAUUUAAACAACCCAAAGUUAAAUAAAGAACAGAGAUUAACACUCGCAGCAUUGCAUUGCAAUGGCUAAAUAUCCAAAGGCUUACAAGUGUUACAACU